rnacentral:lncRNA from 1 species
GCGGCGUGUCCCUCGUCGUUGGCGGUCUCGAUACCCUCGACACGCCUGUUGGGGACGGCGCAGUUCUGCCGGAUCUCGCCCUGGGUGCCGGUGAGCAAGUCCAUGUUGCUCAUCUUCACCAUGGACAUGGCGAACUGCCUGAAGAAGGCAGACUGGCUGAGCGCGAACCGCGUGGUCAAGAGCCUCGUGUCGGGGUGGUCGAUGAGGGCCUGGUCGGACUUGAACAAUCCCUGCCUGACGAUGAGGUCGAAGUAGUACUUGUUGUCGAACACGUCGGGCGUGCGCACGUCGAGGGUCUGAUUGACGGUGCCCUGGGGCACGUCCUUGGCGCACUUGGCCCGCAGCCUCCUGGCGAAUAGCGGGUCGAUGAGCGGGUUGAGGUCGAUGUUGGGAGCGAAGCGGUCGGAGAAGACGGGGCAGUGGGCGACGCCGAAGGUGUGCGCGCCGGAGAGCGAGACGAGGUCGGCCACGUCGAGGCUCCGGUUGCCGAAGGAGGAGAUGAGAGUCGGCACGUCGAAGGAGGGCGCCGGCAGGGUGUCCACGAGGUCCUGGGACGCCGGGGCGAGCCCGUCGCGGCGGCCGAGGGCGACGUCGAAGUGUGGCCCGCCAGCCUGCAUCCACCACGUACGUACUCGUUGAUUAAUCGGUUCUGCUCAGGUUGAAAAUAUCGUCUGACAUAUGUACGCUUGUGUGGAGCAUAUGGCCGGCAGGCAUGAAGUGGAGUGUACCUGUACGAGGGCGUCACGGGUGGCGAGGACGGUGAUGUCGGCGCAGGAGACGGUCGGGCCGCAGGCGGCAUGGACGGCGGCGCGGAUGCGCUCGAUGAGGUCGAGAGCAACGGGGCGGAGCGUCUGGUUGGGCACCGCAUUCAGCUCGCUGUUGUUCCCGGUGAGGAGCACCGACGCGUCGCAGCCCUGCGGGAAGCAGUCGUGGAAGAGGAUGCGGAUGAGGGCGGGGGCGACGCCGACGUCGCGCCGGAAGGUCUCCGCCACGAGGUCCCCCACGAUCUUCUCCAGGCCCGGGCACGACGCGGCGUGGAAGCCCCGGGACAGCCCGCCGGCGUCCGCGGCCGAGAUGGUCGACUGGGCGGCGCAGAUCAAGGCUGCCAGGACGAGGACGGUCGCUGUUGCUCUGGACGCCAUUGCUGUCGCCCUACAGAGAUGUAGCUGAGCUUUUUUGCACGAUGAUGGUCGUGUGGCUUGCUCAAGCUAUGGACACUAAACCCUUGUUAUUUAUACACGGCCAAGUGGCUAACCACCCCACAGCUGGGUAGGUACGUACGUGGCUUAACUCGAUAUUAAUUAUCUACAAGGUGGAAAACAUGUGCAAGUCGGUGCCUGAAAUUUCCCAGAACUUUCCGUAUGCCUUGCGCCCAACAACCCCUUCACUGCGUAUGUGAGUAAUUUACGAUUAGGAUGUGUGACAUCGAUCCAAGUGGGACAUAUACAUAAGGGGUCUGGAAUCAUUUUGAAUGACGCCGAGCUGGCUACGUACGACCUACAGGGAUAGGAUCAGCCUGAGCUUCUUAACCCUCAAAAGAGUUAAGUCAUCAAAAUAUUCUCUUGAUCGAUGCGUGCGUUCCCACACAACCAUCUCAAAGCAUCUCCUGGUCCAAAUUUAACGAUCCAGCCCGUGGGGGGGGGGGGGGGGGCGGCCCGGCCCGUGAAAGUCCUCGGCCCCCCUCCCAGGUCGCACGUAGCCUAUGGGGAUAGCUCUGCAAGGCAGAAGCGCACGUAGAAGUAGACUAAUGUAGAUGCGCAGCCAACGUAGGACGUGACCGAUGGACAAGAUCGUGCACAUCACUACCACGCGAAGAUAAUGGGCCCGACCCAGCGCCAUGGGCAUCAUUACCGUGGUUCAGGAAGACCCAAGGUAAAAAACUAAAUUAACGCACAAUGCUCAGUCUUGUUUUUUAGGUCGUCACGCCCAAACUCCCAUCCCAAUCACGGCAAGGCCAUUGCGUGUUUGCCGCAUGUGUUUGCCUCCGAUGCGGGGGCGACACUACGACAGAUGAGCAUCCAAAUAGGGUAGUCAUCUAGAUCUGGUAGGUCAAUUUGCUCCUUUUGAUUCAAUCUUGUGGGUUUUAUGAAUUUUGGGGUUUCUUGAUUUCGGGGAAAAAAUUAUAGUUACAAUGAGAGGAUUUUUGUUUGGCAUUUCAAAAUUAGUAGCCAUGCUGCUAUUGUUCGGUUAUGAAAAUUGGGAAUAUGGGACGAUGUCUACUGCAACAGGAUUAUGAUUAAUCAUUGAAUCGUGUCAAGUUAUUUAUUAACUCGAUAAUCAAUGUUAUGGUUUUGUAGUGCAGCUGCAAAAGCAUUAUGUCCAAGGCAUGUUGAUAGUUCCUUCCGUAUUGAAGAUUCCAACUUAGAUCUCCGGUAUCAAAGUUUUGAUAGAAAAUGAUGUUUUUGGAUUUGGAGAUGAUAUCAAAUAAUAUUGGAUUUUCUGUCGGUACAAUGGGUUUCUCAUAUACCGUAGCUAAAGUUUGACUGUUUGACUCACUAUACAUGUGUUUUAUCUCCAGGGCUUAGAAGAUGUUUCUAAUGCUUCAUAAAAAACAAAGAUUCUUAUCAAGAAGCACAUGAACACGGAGGCACUACAUGAGUUGAUGAUGAUCAAGGUAUGAUUGUUUUUGUUCUACUAUAAGAAGCACAUGCAUCUUUCAAAUAGCUACAUAUUGAUAACAAAUAAUGGAGAAUAAUGUGAGAUACGUAAAUGUCCCAGAGAGGUUAAAAGUUUUGCAACUUAGUAUAUCAAGAAUAAAUUGUUGAAUAAGAUUGAUAUCAAUACCAUCAUCCCUGAGAUUGCAUCUCGGAAUGUUAGACCCAAAUUUUGAGAUACAUAUAUAAAAAUUAUGUGAUUUUAAAUGCAUUUUAAGCGUUACACGACAACAUUUUUUACGUUUAUGAAUUUAUGUUAAAGGGUCCCGGGUUCUAGUUUCGCCCCGGAUCCCCGAAAUCUCAGGACCGGCCCUGGGUCCAAAUUCAAAUCACUAAAAGGUGCUUUUUAUAAAAAGGCUCAACUUCAACAGAUGAUCUAAAACGAAGAUGUAAAAAAAGAGCAUCUCCAAUAGAUGGUCCAAAACAAAGAUGCAAAACCGACCGACGGCCGCACGACUGCUAUUCAGCCACUUUACAGCCGCGGUUUUGCGUUCAAAUAUCACUUCAAAUUCGAAAUAAAGUGCAUCAUCAUCAUAGUUCAAAUCAUAACAAAAGUGCAUCACCAUCAUUAUAGUUUACAAUCCCUCUACCAAAAGUGCAACGUCCCAAUCAAAGUUUUUUGGCGUACAAAUUAAAAUACACAUGAAUAUCAUUCAUGCGGAACAUCAACACCAUCGACGUUGUGAACUGUGGUACGAUCGUCAUCAUACACAUUUCAUCGAACAUGUUGGAGGCGGUGGCCGUCGGCGUGGCCAAAUCUUCCUCCACGUCCGGCGGUGGCAGCGGUGGAGGUGGGGGAUGUUGGGGAACGUUGCAUGGGAAACAAAAAAAUUCUACGCACACGCAAUACCUGUCCAUGGUGAUGAUCAUCUACUAGAAGGGAGAGUGAAUCUACAUACCCUUAUAGAUCGCUAAGCGGAAGCGUAUAUAUUGCGGUUGAUGUAGUGGAACAUCUUCGCAAUCCAAAUCACAGCCCGUCCCACGAUCUCAUCACGAUUCGUCCCGCGAUCCCAUCACGAUCCUUCCCGAUCUAGUGUCGAACGGACGACACCUCCGCGUUCAGCACACGUACAGCUAGAUGAGGAUGUCCACCUUCUUGAUCGAGCAAGAGGGGACGGAGAGGUAGAUGAGUUCUCCAGCACGACGGCGUGGUGGUGGUGGUGGUACUAUUCCAGCACGGAUUCGCCUAAGCACCAUUGAAACUAGAGGAGAAAUAGAUCUAGAGAGAGAGGGCAACACGUGGCUGUUUUCUAUUUUUUUUCUAAAUCCCUCAAAACCCUUAGUAUAUAUAUAGUAGGAAAGGAGGGAGAGUGUUGCGCCCUAGGGCUGCCCUUUCUUCCCUUGCGCAAGGAGGAGAGGAGGAGUCCUCCUUCAAUCCUAGUAGGAGUAGGCUUCCUCCUUCCCAGUUGGAAACUCUUUCCACCUUGUGUUUUUUCCUUCUCAAACCUUAUGGGCCUUAGUGGAAACUUAUUCCAGCCCACUAGGGGCUGGUUUAUCUCUUCCCAUAUCCCAUGAGGCCCCUUGGGGUGUGACACCCCUGCCGAUGGUCUCCGGCACCCCUCACGGCACUCCCGGUACACUACCGAUCAGCUCGAAACUUUUCCGGUGAUCAAAACAUGACUUCCUAUAUAUCAAUCUUUACCUUCGGACCAUUUCAGAGCUGCUCGUGACGUCCUCGAUCUCAUCCAGGACUCCGAACAACCUUUGGUCACCAACACAUAUAACUCAACUAUACCGAACCUUAAGUGUGCAGACCCUGCGGGUUCGAGAACUAUGCAGACAUGACCUGAGACACUCUCCGGUCAAGAACCAAUAGCGGGACCUGGAUGUACAUAUUGGCUCCCACAUAUUCUACGAAGAUCUCUAUUGGUUGAACCUCUAUGUCAAGGAUUCAGUUAAUCCCGUAUGUUGUUCCCUUUGUCCUUCGGUAUGUUACUUGUUGGGUUACGUAGCAUAAAUUCAAAAUUUUCCUACGCAUAUUCAGAUCUUCCUAUGGAGAGACCAGCAACGAGAGAGGGGUAAGAGCAUCUUCAUACCUUUGAAGAUCGCUAAGCGGAAGGGUUGCUAGAACGCGGUUGAUGGAGUCGUACUCGCAGCGAUUCCGAUCUAGUGCCGAACUACGACACCUCCGCGUUCAACACACGUGCAACCUGGUGACGUCUCCCACACCUUGAUCCAGCAAGGAGGAGGGAGAGGUUGGGGAAGAACUCCAGCAGCACGCGGCGUGGUGUCGAUGGAGAGACGAGGUCUCCCGGCAGGACUUCGCCAAGCACCGGUAGAGAGGAGGAGAAAGAAGAGCAGGGCUGCGCCGAGGGAGAGGGAAAAGUCUAUCUCUCAAUGGCAAAAAGUGCCCGAUAUAUAUAGGGGGAGGGGAGAGGGGGUGCCACCCCUAGGGUUCCCACCCUAGGGGGUGCGGCAGCCCCCCAGAUGGGAGGUGCGGCGGCCAGAGGGGGGAGGAGGGGGUGGCGCACCAUCUGGUGGGCCUUAGGCCCACCUGGCUUAGGGUUUGCCCCCCCCCCUUUUCUCUCCCCUGCGCAUUGGGCUGAGUGGGGAGGCGCACCAGCCCACCUAGGGGUUGGUUCCCACCCCCACUUGGCCCACCUUACCUCCCGGGGUCGUUUCCCCCCUUCGGUGGUCCCGGUGGUCCCGGUGGUCCCACUAUGUUACCGGUGAUGCCCGAAACACUUCCGGUAUCCGAAACCAUCCGUCCUAUAUAUCAAUCUUUACCUCCGGACCAUUCCGGAGCUCCUCGUGACGUCCGGGAUCUCAUCCGGGACUCCGAACAUCUUUCGGUAACCUCGUAUAACAAUUCCCUAUAACCCUAGCAUCAUCGAACCUUAAGUGUGUAGACCCUAUGGGUUCGGGAGACAGGCAGACAUGACCGAGACACCUCUCUGGCCAAUAACCAUCAACGGGGUCUGGAUACCCAUGGUGGCUCCCACUUGCUCCACGAUGAUCUCAUCGGAUGAACCAUGAUGUCAAGGAUUCAAUCAAUCCCGUAUACGAUUCCCUUUGUUUGUCGGUAUAGAACUUGCCCGAGAUUCGAUCGUCGGUAUACCUAUACCUUGUUCAAUCUCGUUAACGGUAAGUCUCUUUACUCGUUUCGUAGCACGUCAUCGUGUGACUAACUCCUUAGUCACAUUGAGCUCAUGAUGAUGUUCUACCGAGUGGGCCCAGAGAUACCUCUCCGUCACACGGAGUGACAAAUCCCGAUCUCGAUUCGUACCAACCCAACAGACACUUUCGGAGGUACCCGUAGUGCACCUUUAUAGUCACCCAGUUACGUUGUGACGUUUGAUACACCCAAAGCACUCCUACGGUAUCCGGGAGUUGCACAAUCUCACGGUCGAAGGAAAAGAUACUUGACAUUAGGAAAGCUUUAGCAUAGGAACAAUGCGAUCUAGUGCUAUGCUUAGGAUUGGGUCUUGUCCAUCACAUCAUUCUCCUAAUGAUGUGAUCCCGUUAUCAAUGACAUCUAAUGCCCAUGAUCAGGAAACCAUGAUCAUCUAUUGACUAACGAGCUAGCCAACUAGAGGCUUGCUAGGGACACAUUGUGAUCUAUUUAUUCACACAUGUAUUACUGUUUCUUGUUAAUACAAUUAUAGCAUGAACAAUAGACGAUUAUCAUGAACAAGGAAAUAUGAUAAUAACCAUUUUAUUAUUGCCUCUAGGGCAUAUUUCCAACAUUACUUGCCCGAGAUUCGAUCGUCGGUAUCUUCAUACCUAGUUCAAUCUCGUCAUCGGCAAGUCUCUUUACUCAUUCCGCAAUAAAAGAUCCCGUAACUAACUCCUUAGUCACAUUGCUUGCAAGGCUUGUUGUGAUGUUGUAUUACUGAGUGGGCCCCGAGAUAUCUCUCCGUCACACGGAGUGACAAGUCCCAGUUUUGAUCCAUGCCAACCUAACAGACACCUGGAGAUACCUGUAGAGCACCUUUAUAGUCACCCAGUUACGUUGCGACGUUUGAUAGCCCACAAGGUAUUCCUCUGGUGUCCGGGAGUUGCAUGAUCUCAUGGUCAUAGGAACCGAUACAUUGACAUGGGGAAAACAGUAACAAUAAACUGACACGAUCAUUUGCUACGUUCAUAAUUUUGGGUCUUGUCCAUCACAUCAUUCUCCCAAUGAUGUGAUCCCGUUAUCAAGUGACAACACUUGUCUAUGGUCAGGAAACCUUGACCAUCUUUGAUCAAUGAGCUAGUCAACUAGAGGCUCACUAGGGACAGUGUGUUGUCUAUGUAUCCACACAUGUAUUUGAGUUUCCAAUCAAUACAAUUCCAGCAUGGAUAAUAAACGAUUAUCAUGAAUAAAGAAAUAUAAUAAUAACCAAUUUAUUAUUGCCUCUAGGUCAUAUUUCCAACAGAGGAAAGGCUCCUUGGCUGGUAGAGGACGUGGCCGGCCCUAGCUGCGAGUCAUCGGCCCGAGCCCGCCGGCUGCCUUUGAGUUUUUGCCCAGCCGUGAUUAGCCAACCGUUUUCAUGCCUUCGGCGCCUUCGCAGGAACCGUCGGUGCAGGGGCAACCGGCCGGGGCGGCGGACGGGUACGGUGACAUGGACGAGGCGGCAGAGGGCGAGUUCGCCGCAACCGUGGCGGCCGACGGGCGGGUCGUGGGCUGGCGGUCGCGAUGCGGGAGGUGAAUGAACUAGCGGUUAGGCGUUGGCGUGGGGACGCGGUUUUUACAUCACUUGUAUCUUGUGAUGUAAAUUUGCAUCAUGCAGUUUUCAUUUUUACAUCACCGGGAGGCCGCAAUUGAUUUUUUUACAUAUGGACCGUUUGUUGGAGCAUUGUUUUUUUCCCAAGACGAUCCAAAAUUUAGGUAUUUUUACAUUUGUAUCAUCUAUUGGAGAUGCUCUUACAAAGGGUUAACUCAACAAAAUAUUCUCUUUUGAGGGGUUAACCGCACCUAGCUGGACGCCUGGACUCCUAUCCGGCUAACUCCUUAAGUAUUUGAGGAGUUAAGCGUGAAAAACUUCUCAAGGCUCUCAUUUUUGAGUGGGCGAGACAAGUUAUCGGCAAAACACCCCCGCUUCCCAACUCCUUCUCGCGACGCAUCCGCUAAUCAGUGUCACAGUCAGAGCCAUCGGAUACCCCCAUUUCGACGGGAAUGACAUGGGAGGGCGCUUCCAUGUCAAGGAAGCACUCGGGACAAAUAGCGUGGUGAGAACCAUCGCACCGUCGAAAAAGGCAAGCCGUAAGGGUAUGCUUUCACGAAGACGAGAGGUUCCCCUCCAUUUGCUCCGGCUGGUGGCAAGCGAGUGAGGAAGCCACCAGUGGCCGACAAGACGCUUAACAAAGUGCCGGCAAAGAAAAGGAAGAAGAUGUGCACGUCGACGCCUUCUCUGUCAUAGCCCUUCUCCAGCAUCCCCUAUCACCUCCUCCUUUAGCGCGUUUGCCCGCGGCGGAGGUCUGCCAACUACUCGACAAAAUGUCAAAAUGCAUGUGGGGUAAUUUGUUUUUCUGCUGUGGAUAUUGGUAGUAAUGUUUUGCAGCGGAUAUCUUGGGACGUGCUUGUGGUUGUUUAUUUUAGUGUGGAGGAGCAGUUGCAAAUUUCAUGUCUCAAUUGGAUUCAUCACACAUAAUCAGCCUUGACGAUCUAGAUUACGAUGGUCCAAGGUAUGCUCAAGAAACAAGAGAGGGAGGAGGAUGAUCAAAAAGUGAAAGAGGUCAAUGAUCCCGUGGAGCCACAAUAAAGCAUUAUGAAGACGAUAUAGAGGGCAGUAGGGCGUUCAGUGGCACCAUACUAGUUGAGUCUCAUCCAAUUUCGUAUUCUAACCCUUCUUUUGACAUGAUUAACAUUUAUGAACAAUACGCGUGUGAGAUUCUUUCCUCUAAAUGGACAUACAAAGAACGUUGCAAUAAUAAUUUGCACUAAAAGAUACUAUAAAAUCAGGAACUGAAGAUGACAGAUUCCAACAAAAGUGUACCCCUUCUUGAAUAUAUAUAGUAACACUAUUCAUCAUCGAGGGUGUAGAAUGAGUUAUUCUUCAUCCGAAGUAAUCUUACGGUUGUUUCAUAAAUAAUUUUUUUUUUACAAAUAGUUAUAUGCAUAUUGUUUCAUUAUAUAAAAUUUGGCAUAAGAAAACAAUUAUAUAUGUCAGAAGACCAGAAAAAAUGCAUUUUAUGUGUAUUUUACACUAUAUUUUUACGUUUGUAACUUUAAAUAGCGUAAAAUAUUUUUAUGACGAUUUAAUAUUUUCUUUAGUUCCUUUUUUGGUAAAAAGUAAGAAAAAAAAGUACGAACAGUAAAAAUACGGUGCAUUGAUGGUAAAAUAGAGGGGACGAAGAAUAACUAUUCCUCACCUAGGAUGACGAAUAGCGCGACUAUUCGUCACAUCAAUGCACCAUAAUUUUAUGUUCUGUUUUUUCUUCAUACGUAAAAAGAGACCGUAACAAGAUAUAUAGUCAUUAUAAAAAAUAUUUUAUGUCACCUAAAAUUACAAACAUAAAAACAUAGUGUAAAAUAUACAUGAAAUGUGAUUUUUUGAUCUUAUGACCUCUAUUUUUAAUUUUUUACAUCAAAUUUUACGUAAUGGAUCAACAUUAAUGAAACUAUUGGUAUUACAAAUGUAAUAUAUGUAUGAAACGGUCGUAAGAUUACCUGGGUGAGGAAUAACUUAUUUUGCACCCUCGGUGAAUCAUUAUUCAGGAUGCAGAAUAGUUUAUUCUUCAUCCGAGAUAUUUGUACGAUCAAUUUACUAAUAAAUUAAGUUUCAAAUACAAAUAAUUAAAUUUAUAUUGAAUCACUAUGUAAAAUUUGACAAAAUCAAAACAAAAGUAUAGGUCACAAGACUAGAAAAAUUUGAAUUUAUUGUAUUUUUUGCACUAUUUUUGUAUGUUCGUAAUUUUACGUGACAUAAAAUAUUUUUACGUUGAUUAUAUUUUUUUUACUGUCUCUUUUUAUGUAUAAAAUAAGACAAAAUUUACGGAACGUAAAAUUACGGUGCAUUGAUGUUAAAAUUAUGGUGAAUUGAUGUUAAAAUUAUAUAUAUACUAGAUUCAUGCAUGUCAGUAAAAUUUAGCGGCACCGUUCUCGUCGUCACCUAUAUUGUUAAGUGGACUAGUUGGACCAUCGCAAUGACGUGUUGGGUCACCCUUGACACGUGUCAGUGGCAUCUCGAACAUGUUGAGAUAUUCGCCUGCUGUCAGUCGGUGGCCACCACCACUCGAGAACAUUUGUGGCGGGUGUCGAGGGCUUAAGUGAUGUGGUCGUGUGGCAAUAGUUUUUUUUAUAGUGAAGUGAGGCGAUCACACACAGGAAAGAGUGGGGUGCAUGUGGGGGAGAAGACGAUAUGGCAACUAUUGAGUUUAGUCCAUAUUGAUUGUGGGAGCAGGCAUAACAGAAUUUAUAAGGGUGUGGGUGUCCCCUCCUAUCACGCAAGCUUUCUUUUUAAACGAAGGGUCCAAGCCCUGAAUUAAGUCUGUGUUCCUCUCUGGUUGGGCCUGGUUACCGCGCUGAGACGCUCGUGGAGGAUGUGGGUCAUGGUAGUUUGGUGGUUCAGAGGAAGAGGAUGAACAAUAAUGAUUUUUGAGGUUGAAGAAGAUGAUCUGGCCAUCCGUAUUGAAUCCAACGGCUCACAACGAUUCGACUGGCCCAAAUUCGAUUUUCGGUCACGUGACAUCUAUCGAUUCCCAUCAUUUUGCACUAAGUGAUGGACUAUGAUUUGCUCAACCAGUCCACUAAACCCAUGCAAUUUAUACACGGCUAGUUACUUUCAAGCCGGCUUAGGUAGCUAGACAUAUUUUUUCUUGUAAUAAAGGAAUACAUUAAUGUCACUACAAGAAAUAUGCCAACUUGUGACAUUCUCUUGGAGACCGUGAAUGAAUUGGUCGUAAGUCUACGACCAUUUUGAUCGAAUUGGUCAUAAGCUAUUUUAGAGGGUUCAAACCCUCAACCAUAACGACCAUUUUUAGGGGAAAGGUCGCAAUUGCCUGGCAUGAAAUGGUCGUAAAGCAGACAACUAGGAUUGACAACCUUAUUUUUAGCAGAAGACGACCAAUCUAGAUGGCCAUAACCAUGUAAAUUGCGGUGUGUUGCUAUGACCGGGCGCCACCUCAUCAAUUUCGCUUGUGUGUCAUGUAUAUGUGUCAUGUUUAUGUGUUAAUUUACGCUUACUUGUCUAGAUCAAAUAUACCAAUGAUGGGUGGAACCCAUGCAUUGACUGGUUAACCUACACCUCAGACCCACCACCACCUUACACGCUGGACCCAGUACAUCUCGGACCCAACACCAACAUACACGUCGGACCCACCCUAUCAUGGGUCCCACCAACCUGACAUGAAAGACCCACCAUUGAACUGACUUGUUGCCCCACCACGGAUGUGACAUGGAGGCUAAACCGGAGAUAGUAGAAAAAUAGGAAAGAAAUAUGCGUUGAUGGGAUUCGAACCCGUGACGCCCUAAGAGCAAGUUCAGGAGUUCCCCCAUACCUUCCCUGGUCAUUUUUUUAAGGGAGAAAGGCAAAAAAACUGCCUCCAACAGUGCCCCGAUCUACUCCGGAUAUUUUGGCCUCCCCGAAAACGUUUCCUCUCUCCCCUCUAUCUAGGGGAACGAGGACCUCCCCGAUCCCCUCCCCGACAUGCCGAGCGAAGCAACUGCCGGCUCCGAAAAGCUCCCUCCCGCCACCACCCCGCCGCCACCACCGCAUUGCAGGUUCGUUCCCUCCUUUGUUUUCUCUCAGAUCUCGGCAAAAAAUAAUAAUCUAGGCUAGGGAGUAAUGGUGAUGUUGGAGAGUGAUGCAGGGGUGCGCAGUCGCCGUGUGAGGAUGGGGAGGCGCUGGAAGGGAGGAGCUGGGCGUUGUUGCUAGAGAUUUGGGCGCUGCUGCUUGCUAGAGUUUUUGCUACCGCUUUGCUAGAGAGAACAGAGAGAGAGAGAGCAGAGAUAUGAGAGAUUGGGAGAUGCACUGUUUGCUGAACAUUAAUUCAGAUAUACAAUGCUUCUUUUUAUAUAUAGAUCAGAGAGAUAACUUGUUGAUUGCUAUAGAUCAGUGAGCUAUUGUACUGCUGAUUGCUGCACAUUUAGAUAUAGAUCACAGAGAUUGCUUGCUACUGAUUUCGGUUGCUAUUGCUAGUAAUUUGCUAGUGAUUGCUGCUGCUAUUUGCUUUCAUUUGUAUUUGCUACUGAUUGCUCCAAGUUAUUUGCUACUCGGAGAUAAAUUUACAUAUCAAUUUGCGAUUGCUUGCUGCAAGUUAUUUCCUACUAGGAGAUGACAUUUAAAUAGCUAUUUGUGACUGCUUGCUGCUAGUUAUUUUCUACUGGUUGUUGAACAUCUAUAUGAUGUAUGGUUUGUUUGUUUUGUUUCAUAUUUUCAUAAUGGACGGUCAGAGUUAUUUGAUCUUUUGCAAAGUGAUGUCGGCUUGAAUGAUUUGCACUGGACUGAAGAAGAACAAAUCGACCUCGAAAAGAAUGAAGAAAAACAAAUUGAUCUUGAAGGGCCUAAAUAAACUAGUCGUUGGUAGUUAUGAAAUAUUCUUAAAAUAUAGAAUAAGGGAGAUGUUUAGGGGAACUAGUGGAGUUGAGCAAUCUUUAGGGGAGAAUCUUUGUAAGUUAGUCCCCUGUUUUGAGAUAUAGGGGAGAAAUUUUUGGGAAACUGUUGGACUUCCCCUAAGAAAACACGGUGGUUUCUUACCACCACGCCACCACCCAAGUAACGAUACGAAACUCCACUCGCUACUUUUAUACGAAACAGUCGCUUCCUGGGCUUGGGCCUAAAUCAUGAGAGAUCUCCCCUUCGCUCCUUCUUUUUCCCCUUUAGCAUUAUGGUCCAUCGAGUGGCACUAUAACAAAUGUGAUAAUCUAUGAUGCACAUUCUGUGACGAUUCAAUGUAAAAACGUGAGGGAAUCAUCUAAAUUUCAAAAAAUAUGACGUUUUUUCACAGAAUCGUCACAAAAUGAGCGUCUUAGAUUAUCGCAUUUGUUGUAGUGUGGGCCAACGGCCCAUGGCCUAUUAGAAGAUCUUUUCUCGUGGGAAAUGUGUGUUUUUUUGUUUUUUUUCUUCUUUACAAUAUUUCGUGAUUUCAGAAAAUCUCCACACAUUUAAAAAAUUUAUUUUGGAAAAAUGCUCGUGAAAUCAUGAAAUGUUCGUCCAUUAAAUAUGUUCAUGAUUUUUGAAAAAUUUGCGUAUUGAAAUAAUGUUCACGGAUUUGACAAACAAAUGGGAAUUCAAAAAAUCAUCACAAUUUUUUCAUAAAAUGUUCAUUGACGUGAAGGUUUAGAUUUUUUUUAUUUUCUUAUUUUAUACCGAUUUUAAAACCAGGUCACAUAUAAUGAUAGAAUACAAAGGCUUUCCAUAUUUUUUGACACAAUGCAAAUGUUCCUUUUUUACAUGGAACCAUUUGGAAAUUUGUACAUGAAAUGUGGUCUAAUAAUUUCGAAAAUGUUCCGGUAUAGUUUUACAACAAAUAUUUGGUAGUUUCUUCACAAAAAGAACUCAUUUUGUGCACUUAAAAAAUCAAAAUUCCCUUUGGCAACAUUGUUUGCCAUUGCAAGAUGCACCCUUGAAACACAUAAAACUUCACACAACAUAGUUCAUUUCUGAGAAGACUUUUAAAAGGUAUUUAUCGUAGUCCAAAUUUUUUAUUUCUCCUCAAAACAAGAUCACAUAUGAUGACACAAUGCGAAGGUUUCCAAUUAUUUUAACUCUUUUUUCUAAUUUCUUAUGUCCGUUUUAAAAUGCGGUCAAAACGACGGGCAUGAUCGUUCGUAGCUAGGGGUUGAAUCUUGGAAAAACUUUUGGUGUCUUUGAUAAAACCUAUAGUUAUGUACCUAUAGUUCAAAGUUGACCCACUUCUUGCAGAAUCGACCGAAAUUUGUAGUUCAAACUUGACCCGCUUCUUGCUGAAUCUAUCGAAAUUUGUCUUUUUCAUGAGAAGUGACUAAAAAAACUCACUUUAGUCACUCGAAUAAUGCAAAAUGAAUUUACCGUCCAAAGAAAAUGAAAACUUUCUUAGGCAACAUUGUUUGCCAUUCCAAAAUGCACGAUAUUAGAUCAUUUGAAUAAACUAUACAUGAAUGUGGCCAUAAGAUUGAUCAUUUGACUUCAAAGCCAUGAAUCUUCAUACAUGAUAACUCAUUUUUUAGAACACAUUUAAAAAAUAUUUACCUUAUUAUAAUUUUAUUAUUUUUCCUAAUAACUUGGUCACGUAUAAUUAGACAAUGCGAAGGUUUUUCAAUUUUUUGAUUUGUUUUUGAAUUUUUCAAGCCCAUUUCAAAAUGUAGUCAAAACGUCGGGCACGAUCGUUCCUAUCUAGUGGUUGAAUCUUGAAAAACUUCUAAUGUUUCUAUGGUUAAAUAGAUACUUGUUUACCUAGAAAUGAUUUUUGGAAAAAAUAAAGAACAAACUAUGACUCAGCCGCCGUUCAAACUUGACCCGCUUUUUACUAAAUUGGCCGAAAUUUAUCCUUUUCACAAGAUGUGGCUUAAAACUUUUGACACUCAACCAUUUGGUCAAUUGUACAUUAAAAAUGUCCUAAUAUUUUAAAAAAUUGAUUUGGUCCAAAAUUGCCACAAUUAUAUGCUAGACCCUUCAUAAAAAACUCAUUUUAGUCACUUGAAAAAUGGAAAAUAAACUGUUCGUUCAAAAAAAAUAGAAAACUUCGUUACACAACAUUGUUUGCCAUUACAAAAUGCACCAUUUUGCACAAUAUUAGAUCAUUUGAACAAGUUAUGCCAUGAAUGUGGCCGUAAGAUUGAUCAUUUGGUUUGAAAGCCUUGAAUCUUCACAAAUGGUAACUCAUUUCCGAGAAUACUUUUUUUAAAAUAAUUUUCGUAUUAUAAUUUUAUUGUUUUUCCUCGUAACUUGGUCACAUUUAAUGACACAAUGGGAAGGUUUUCCAAUUUUUUUAUUUUUUUUAAAUUUUCAUGCCCGUUUCAAAAUGCAGUCAAAACAACGGGCAUGACCGUUCCUAUCUAGUGGUUGAAUCUUGGAAAAGUUUUGAUGUUUCUCUCAUUAAAUAUAUACUUAUGUAUCUAGAAAUGAUUUUUGAAAAAAAUAAAGAGCAAACUACGAGGCAACUGCAGUUCGAAUUUGUCGCGCUUCCAACUAAAUCAGCGGAAAUUUGUCUUUUUCACGAGAGUUGAUCAAAAGUUUUGACACUCAACCAUUUGGUCAAUUGUACAUUAAAUAUGGCCUAAGAUUUUAUUAAAUUGAUUUAGUCCAAAUUUGCAACAAAUAUUUGUUAGGUUCUCCAGAAAAGAACUUCAUUUUGGGCACUUGAAAAAUGGACGAGAGGUGGACGAAAAACUUUUAAGAAGGAAGUAUUUGGUCAAUUUGUACAUAAAACACGGUCGAAUAUUUUUUAAAAUUGUUGCGGUCCAAUUUUUUAACUAAUAUUUGAUAGGUUAUUCACAUAGGUGAAAACAAAAAAGAGAAAGACAAAGAAAGAAAACACAUUUACAUAAGCUUAAUUCUCGUUGGUGGAGAUGUUUGUGCCAUGGAUUGAUGACAUGGCACACAUCCAUCCAUAUAUCCAUCCACCCGCAGCCCAAACCCUAACUCCAAUACUCCCAUCGGUCCCCUCCCCCUCUCCCCCGAUUCAGAUCCAGUCCUCGCUGCCGCCACCUACCUCAAGCCGAUCCUGUCGUCCAUGCCCGCGCGCCAUCACCCGCUCCGCGACCACCACCCGCUCCUCCUUGCCUCCCGGAGGACGCAGACCCCACGUCGCUCUUCCUCCGCCCGCCAACCCACCCCGUCCUGGAGGCCUCACUAGCUUCCUUCCGUCGCAGGGUCACCGCGCUCAUCGCGCCCUCGGUACGCACCUCCACCGCCAUCUUUGCUGGCUCCUCGCCUCCGCCUCCGCCCCCGCUAAUUCCCCGCCCAGCGGCUACCCGGUGGCGCUCCACCUCCUUCGUGCGCCACUCGAUGAGCUCGAGGCCCUGUGGCUAUGCCAUGUUUGGGACAGGUGCCCGUUCCAGUACGUGGUCGGGAACGAGCACUGGAAGGACCUGGUGGUCGCCAUUCGGGACAGUGUACUCAUCGCACGGCCGAAGGCGGAGGCCGUCGUGGACAUGGUCACCACCAUCGAUUGCGAGCUGGAGUCCUGGGCCUUCCCCUCAUCAUCCUCGGCGGCGACAUGUGGAUGAGCCACCGGACGAUAAGCAGCAGAUCAUGUUUGCGCUGACCUCCAUCAAGGGUGUGGGCCGCCACUUCUCCAACAUCAUCUGCAAGAAUGCCGAGAUCGACAUGAACAAGAGGUGAGGAACCGUCCCCCUUUCUCGCCAGAUCUCGUCGUGGUGGGUGGGGGAUGAGUCGUGCACUGUCUUCUGUGUGGUGUGCGGGGCUGAAAAGCUUUCCGCUAAGGAGAUGGUUGUAUGAUGGCGGUGGUGCACAAUUCACGUCAGUUCAAGGUGUUGGACUGGUUCCUGAACAGGAAGAAGGACUAAAAGAAUGGGAGUUUCUCCCAGUUCAUCUCCAAAGCCACCGAAUUGAAGCUCAGGGAUGACCUUGAGAGGCUCAAGAAGAUAACGUAUAAACUCGUCCCCCCUUGUUUGUUUUUGCUUCAUACUGUUGGCUGAUUGAUCGGUGAUUAGGUGCUAGGUUCAACUUGUUAUGAUCCUGUUAACUAACAUCUUGCACAUGCUUUAGUGGUAGAAGUAGUUGAUAUCUCAUCCAAUACUUUACAACCUAGUCUUGGGAUUCACAUAGUGGGUUUCUGGAAGGAGAUCUCCAAACAUUAGAAUGCCUGAAAUGCGUUUAUUCUGUUGUUCUUGAUGGGCGUAGUGUUGUUCUGGUAGGAUGUACUAACUUCAUGUGCUUUAUUCUAUACUCGUUUAUACACACAACAAUGUGGCUAGAGUUUGAUUUUCAGUCGGUAUAGUCUGCUUAUGUGAUACGUCUCCAACGUAUGCAUAAUUUUUGAUGGUUCCAUGCUAUUAUCUUGUCAUCUUUGGAUGUUUUGUAUGCAUGAAUAUGCUAUUUUAUAUCUUUUUUGGGACUAACCUAUUAACUUAGUGCCAAGUGCCAGUUCUUGUGUUUUCUGUGUUUUGACCUUUUUGAGAGGAGAAUAUUGAACGGAGUCCAAAUGGAAUAAAACCUGCGGAAUGAUUUUUUCCAUAAUAGAAGACAUGCAGGAGACUUGAGAACAAAGGAAUGGGAGCUCGGAGGAUGUCACAAGCCACCCAGGCCCGACCUAGGGGGGGCCUAGCAGGCUUGUGGGCCCCCUGUGGCUCCCCUGCCCUAGUUCUUCCGCCUAUAGAUUCCUUAAAAAUCUGAAACCACGGAAGAGAGCCACGAAAAUACUUUUCCGCCGCCGCAAUCUUCUGUCUUCGCAAGAUCCCAUCCGGGGCACGUUCUGGUGCCCUGUAGGAGGGGGGAUUCGAACACGGAGGGCUUCUUCAUCAACACCAUUGCCUCUCCGAUGAUGCGUGAGUAGUUCACCACAGACCUUUGGGUCCAUAGCUAGUAGCUAGAUGGCUUCUUCUCUCUCUUGGAUCUUCAAUACAAAGUUCUCCAUGAUCUUCAUGGAGAUCUAUCCGAUGUAAUCUUAUUUUGCGGUGUGUUUGUCGAGAUCCGAUGAAUUGUGGAUUUAUGAUCAGAUUAUCUAUGAAUGUUAUUUGAGUCUCCUCUGAUCUCUUAUAUGCAUGAUUUUGUAUCCUUGUAAUUCUCUUCGAGUUGUGGGUUUAGUUUGGCCAACUUGAUCUAUAGUUCCUGCAAUGGGAGAACUGCUUGGUUUUGGGUUCAUACCGUGCGGUGAUCUCACCCAGUGACAGAAGGGGUAGCGAGGCACAUAUCGUGUUGUUGCCAUCAAGGGUAAAAUAUGGGGUUUAUAUCUAUUGCAUGAAUUUAUCCCUCUACAUCAUGUCAUCUUGCUUAAGGCGUUACUCCGUUUGUCAUGAACUUAAUACACUAGAUGCAUGCUGGAUAGUGGUUGAUGUGUGGAGUAAUAAUAGUAGAUGCAGAAAGUAUCGGUCUACUUGUCUCGGACAUGAUGCCUAUAUGUAUGAUCAUUGCCUUAGAUAUCAUCAUGACUUUGCGCGGUUCUAUCAAUUGCUCGAUAGUAAUUCGUUCACCCACCGUAAUACUUGCUAUCAUGAGAGAAGCCUCUAGUGAACACUAUGGCCCCCGGGUCUACUUCACAUCAUAUUUUCAGCUUUACACUUUUAGUUUGUUGCACUUUCCACCUUCAGAUCUCACCUUCUAGUUAACCGUGAAGGGAUUGACAACCCCUUUGUAGCGUUGGGUGCAAGUUUGCUUGUUUUUGCGCAGGUACUUUGGAGACUUGCCUUGAUAGUCCUACUGGAUUGAUACCUUGGUUCUCAAACUGAGGGAAAUACUUACUGCUACUGCGCUGCAUAACCCUUUACUCUUCAAGGGAAAAACCAACGCAAGAUCAAGAGGUAGCAUUAUGUUACUCUUUGGUUGGAGGCAAUUAGAAUGUUGUAGGUUUAGUAUGAACGUGUCUUAAUCCAUUGGAUGCCCUUGGCUAGUUUAGUUGGUAUCUAAUCUAAAAUAAUUUAUUUUCCCAUUUUUUGUUUCCUUGCUAGACAUGUCAUGGUACAAGUGCCGGUGCCGAUGUUUACUACCCCCGCCGUAAAGAAAUAUAAGAGCGUUUAGAUCACUACUUUAGUGAUCUAAAUUCUCUUAUAUUUCUUUACACAGGGAGUACAUGGUAUUAUUGUUAGCUAUAUAUAUACCUCAUACGUCUCCAUCGUAUCUUCUUUUCCAAACUCUUUUGCCCUUGUUUUGGACUCUAAUUAGCAUGAUUUGAGUGGAUCUAACCCGGACUAACGAUGUUUUCACCACAACUGCCAUGGUGUUGUUUUUGUGUAAAAAUAAAAGUUCUCGCAAUGACCGGGAAACUUAUGAGGAUUUUUUGUGGAAUAUAUAAAAAAUAUUGGCGGAAGAAUUACCUGAAGACAUGGAGCCAGGGGCCCACAAGCCCAGGAGGUGCACCCCCCUAGGGCGGGCCUGGCAGGCUUGUGGGGCCCACGUAGCUCCGCAGCCUCCAACUCCAACUCUAUAAAGUCUCUCUUGCCUAGGAAAAAUUAAGAGAGAAGAGUUCAUCGCGUUUCACGACACGGGGCCGCCGCCACCACCUGUUCUUCCUCGGGAGGGCAGAUCUGGAGUCCGAUCUGGGCUCCGGAGAGGGGAAAUCGACGUCGUCGUCAUCGCCAACCAUCCUUCAUCGCCAAUUCCAUGACGCUCUUCACCGUUCGUGAGUAAUCUCAUCAUAGGCUUGCUGGAUGGUGAUGGGUUGGAUGAGAUCUAUCAUGUAAUCGAGUUAGUUUUGAUGGGGUUUGAUCCCUAGUAUCCACUAUGUUCUAAGAUUGAUGUUGCUACUACUUUGCUAUGCUUAAUGCUUGUCACUAGGGCCCGAGUGCCAUGAUUUCAGAUCUGAACCUAUUAUGUUUUCAUCAAUAUAUGUGUGUUCUUGAUCCUAUAUUGCAAGUUGUAGUCACCUACUAUGUGUUAUGACCCGACAACCCCGGAGCGACAAUAGCCGGAACCACUUCCGGAGAUGGCCAUAGUAUGAGGAGUUCAUGUAUUCACUAUGUGCUAAUGCUUUGUUCCGGUUCUCUAUUAAAAGGAGACCUUAAUAUCCCUUAGUUUCCGUUAGUACACCGCUGCCACGGGAGGGAUGGACAAAAGAUGUCAUGCAAGUUCUUUUCCAUAAGCACGUAUGACUAAAUACAGAAUACAUGCCUACAUUACAUUGAUGAACUGGAGCUAGUUACAUAUCACCCUAUGUUAUAACUAUUACAUGAUGAAUGUCAUCCGACAUAAUUAUCCAUCACCGAUCCAAUACCUACGAGCUUUUCCUAUACCGGUCCAUGCUAAAUUACUUUACCGCUACUGCUGUCACUACGGCUGCUGUUACUGCUGCUACCGUUACUAUCACACUACUUUUCUACUAAAACUUUGCUGCAGAUACUAAGUCUUGCAGGUCUGGUUGAAUUGACAACUCAACUGCUAAUACUCAAGAAUAUUCUUUGGCUUCCCUUGUGUCUAAUCAAUAAAUUUGGGUUGAAUACUGUACCCUCGAAAAUUGUUGCGAUCCCCUAUACUUGUGGGUUAUCAAGACCUUUUUGUGGCACCGUCGCCGGGGAGCAUAGCUCUAUUCUCUGAGUCACUUGGGAUUUACGUCUGUUGAUCACUAUGAGGAAUCCGAGAGAUCCAAAAACUAAAGUCUUGCCCUCAACUACGAGGACAGGUAAGGAACUGCCAUCUAGCUCUGCACUUGAUUCACCUUCAGUUAUGAGUAAAUUUGCGACACCACCAACUAUUGGUAAUUCUGAUAUGUCGCAUGUGCUUGAUGAUGCUGCUUCUGCUAUCCAUGAUUCUUAUGAUGAUGCUUUGCUUGAUAAUGAGAUGACACUAGGUGCAUUUCUUGAUGCACAAAUUGCUAGAGUUACUGAUGAAUGUGAUGAUACUUCUGAAACUGAUGAAAUUAUUGAAGUGGAACCUGCUGUUACACCUGUUAGACCUAGCUCUCCCAGAUAUGAAUUGCCUGAUAUACCUAAGGGUUAUGUUAUGGAGGGAGAGGUAGCUGAAGGCUUUCUUGCUUGUAAGGAUAGCUAUGAUCUUGAGAAUUUAUUACGUAAGUGGAAAGAAAAAUCUCUGAAUGCUUGAAUGAAAUAUGAUCCUAAGUUUGCUACUUCGCCCAUCUUUGUUACUGAUAAGGAUUAUGAAUUCUCUGUUAAUCACUUUGGUUGAAUCUGAUCCUUUUCAUGGUUAUGAGUCUGAAACGGUUGUAGCACAUCUUAGCAAACUGAAUGAUAUAGCCACCCUAUUCACGAAUGAGGAAAAAAAGUUCUCCAUUACUAUAUCCUUAAGUUGUUUCCUUUCUCACUAAAGGGUGAUGCUAAAACUUGGUUUACUUCUCUUUCUCCUGGUUGUGUGCGUAGUCCCCAGGAUAUGAUAUACUACUUCUCUGAGAAAUAUUUUCCUGCCCAUAAGAAACAAGCUGCCUUAAAGGAUAUAUAUAACUUUGUGCAAGUUGAAGAAGAGAGUCUCCCACAAGCUUGGGGGGGGGGGCUUGUCCAGUUACUGAAUGCUUUGCCUGAUCACCCUCUUGAGAAAAAUGAAAUACUUGAUAUCUUUUAUAAUGGACUAACCGAUGCUUCUAGGGAUCACCUAGAUAGUUGUGUUGGUUGUGUUUUCAGGGAAAGAACUAUGGAACAAGCUGAAAUUCUAUUGAAUAAUAGCUUGAGCAAUGAUAAUGCUUGGACUAUUCCCGAACCACCUCCGAAGCCAAGAGGUAUUCUAUUCCUCAGUCCUGAAGAUAUGCAAGAAGCCAAGAAAUCUAUGCAAGAGAAAGGUAUUAAAUCUGAAGAUGUUAAGAAACUACCACCUAUUGAAGAAAUACAUGGUCUUGAUAACCCGACACAGGUAGUAGAGGUAAAUUCUCUUCGUAGAUUCAAUGAGAGUGAUAUUCCAUAUGAUAAACCUGCUAGCUUAUGCUUAGAUGAAUUUGAUAACUUUGUUGUCAAACAACAAAGUUUUAAUGAUUAUGUUAGCAGACAAUUGAAACAAAAUGCUCGUAUGAUUAAUCAUAUAAGUGCUUGUGUGGAUAGAAAUGUCAAUGAUCUUAAGCUUUUGGGAAAACAUGCUUCUAUGGUCACUACUCAAGUAGAACAAGUACUUAAGGCUCAAAAUGACUUGCUUAAUGAGUUGAAUGACAAUUCUGUUAGAGUUGUCACUAGAGGUUGUAGAAUGACUCAGGAACCUUUGUAGCCUGAGGGCCAUCCUAAGAGAAUUGAACAAGAUUCUCAAGGAGUUAACACUCAUGCACCUAGUCAUCCUGGUAACAGGAAGAAAAUAAAGAUGAUAGGAACUUGCAUGCUAGCAAACCUGUUGCCGUUACACCCGAGAAUCCAAAUGAUGUCUCUAUUUGUGAUGCCGAAACACAAUCUGGUGAUGAACAUGAGCCUAGUGAUAAUAUUGAUAAUGGUGUUCAUGUUGAUACUCAACCUAGUAAUGAUAAGGAUGUGGAGAUUGAACCUGUUGUUGAUCUUGAUAACCCACAACCUAAGAACAAGCUAUAUGAUAAGAACGACUUUAUUGCUAGGAAGCAUGGUAAAGAAAGAGAACCAUGGGUUCAGAAACCCAUGCCCUUUCCUCCCAAACCAUCCAAGAAAAAGGAUGAUGAGGAUUUUGAGUGCUUUUUUGAAAUGAUUAGACCUGUCUUUUUGCAAAUGUGUUUGGCUGAUAUGCUUAAAAUGUCUCCUUAUGCUAAGUACAUGAAAGAUAUCGUGACUAAUAAAAGGAAGAUACCUGAGGUUGAGAUUUCCACCAUGCUUGCUAAUUACACCUUCAAGGGUGGGACUCCUAAGAAACUAGGUGAUCCCGGAGUGCCCACUAUACCUUGCUCCAAUAAAGGAAAUUAUGUUAGAACUGCUUUAUGCGACCUUGGAGCCGGUGUUAGUGUUAUGCCUCUCUCUUUAUAUCGCAGACUUGAAUUGGAUAAGUUGACACCUACUGAAAUGUCUUUGCAAAUGGACGACAAAUCAACUGGUUUUCCUAUCGGCAUUUGCGAGGAUGUGCUUGUUGUGGUUGCGAACGUUACUAUCUUAACGGACUGUGUUAUUCUGGAUAUUCCCGAGGAUGAUGCCAUGUCGGUCAUCCUUGGAAGAUCCUUUCUAAACACUGCAGGGGCUGUUAUUAAUUGCAACAAAGGCAAUGUCACUUUCCAUGUUAAUGGUAAUGAGCACAUGGUGCACUUUCCGAAGAAACAAUAUCGAGUUCAUUUCAUCAAUGCUAUUGAAAAAUCUUCAUCCAUUAUUAUUGGAGGCUUUGAUUGCCCUAUACCUACUAUCAAGAUGAAAUAUGAUUUACUUGUUGGGGAUAUGCACAUCCCCGUUGAGGUAACCUAGUGAUUAUUCGAAAAUUCUCCGUUUUUAUGUGUUUCGAAAAAAGUUUGUCAAGGAGACUUGAUCAACCUCAUUGACGGAUUUCUGUUGAUGACCAUGAGAUGGAUGAAUCUAGGAGUCACAACCUUCUGUUCCCAACUUUUACUUUCUGUUGUUUAGAAGAAAAAUAAUAAUUUUAGCUUUAUUUUCCUAUUUUCCGCGUUUUCCGUUCAAUAGAAAAGUGACCCGAAAAUAAAAGUUCUCCAAAUGCCCUGAAAUUCAAGUAUGAUUUUUUCUGGAAUAUUUGAAAAUUUCUGAGAUAGAUAACUAGUCACGGGGAUGCACCAGUGGGCCACAAGCCCAGGAGGCGCGCCCACCCCCCUGGGCGCGCCUGGCAGGCUUGUGGGUCCCACAUGACCCCCCUCCACUUAUUCCAGCUCCCAUCUCCUUCGUCUACCUCCAGAAAAAUUAUUCCACUGCUCAAACCCGUGUUCUUGCUCUUUGUGCUGCAUUUUUCAAUCUCCUUGUGCAAAGCUCCAUACACCAAACUGUUUUGGGGAAUUUUUCCUUGGUAUGUGACUCCUCCAUCGAUCCAAUUAGUUUUUGUUCUAGUGCUUUAUUCGUUGCAUAUUUUUGCUGCCUUGGUGACCCCGUUCUUGAGCUUUGCAUGUUAAUUUUAGUUGGUCCCAAGUAGUUUUGAUGCAUGAUAUGGCCUCUAGGAACUUGUAGGAGUAGUUGCUAUGAGUUUUGUUGAGCCUUGUUCACUUUUCUUUUGAGUCACUAAAAAUUUCAAAAAAAGAAGAUGUUCACGAAAAACUAUCAUGGUGGUUCCUCAAGCAAAAGGGGUCCCCGUCUCACGAUUCGGGAGCCCGAUCCUUAUCAGCCGAGGAACGCACAGGUGCAACCAUGUGAAUGGCCUUCCGAUGACUUUAUGAUUGAUGCAGGUUUCAAGGACGAGUUUGAUACUUUUGUUCACAACGCCGGGCUCAAAGAAUUCAUCUCCAAUAAAUGUGAACAGUAUACUACACUCACCGCCUCUUUUGUUCGUAGAUUCAAAUUUUCAGUUGGCCGUGACACAUCCAUACUGUUUGAUCUUUAUGAAAAAUCGUAUACCAUGGAUUUAGAGGAUUUUAAUAGAAUUUGCAAGAUACUUGAUUGGGGUAGUCCCAAUGACCCUCCUAAAUAUUUGGUUAGAGAUUUUAUUUCUAGUAUAAUUGUUGGAGAAACUAGAGAUAUUACGCAGGCUACCAUGGGGAGCAUUCAUUUUCCUGCCUUACAUUAUUUUGCCCUCUUCAUAGGUAUAUGCAUUAACGGCAAGCAUGAGCAUAGUCACCUCUGCGCACCUAACCUUAGUAUUCUUAAGAGCGCAGUAACGAGUGAUAGAAGUUUCAACAUGGGAGCUAUAAUUGCGAGGAGGCUAAAUAGUAAUGCUAAUGAAGGGGAUUUCUUUGGUGGGAUCUAUGCCACUCGCAUAGGAAAUUUUCUUCGAAUACCCAUCCGCACAGGAGAUCCCCCGGUCCAUACAGCUUUCCUUGAUCACGCCGCUAUGAGACAUUAUCAGUUCCUUGAGAGGGAUAAUGAAUCCCUCCUAUACCGGUUAAUAUUUAACUGACAACGCGUUUUCCAUAUUACCCUUCCUGCUCCUGCCUUCUUUGACUUUCAGGGAAAACAGAGAUAUUACAUAACCAGAGGAGAGGCAGAGGAGUAUGAGAGGGAGGUGAAGGUUGCUCGCCUCCGUGAGGCAGCUAUUCAGGCGGUAGCUGCCACGUUCCCGUACAACCCCCAUUAUGAUUUUGGAUAUCGCCCGGACCAGCCGUGGGAGUAGACCAACUUAGGCCAAAAUCCUAAGCUUGGGGAGUACGUGUCUCUCACCGACUUUAUAUUCAUGCUCACACAUUCACUUUGAUAGUCGGUGUUCACACUUUGCCAUUGUAUCAUCCAUGCUAGUUUAUUUCUUUUUCUCGCUUUCUUCUUGUGUGUAAGAAAAAUUAGUUGUAAGUUUACUUUCCAGCUUGCUUAGUGGUAAUUAAAAAGAAAACCCAAAAAGAUUUCCCGUUCUUCUUUUUCUUGUUGGGAGCUUUUCCGUGUAAAUAGUUUUCUUUUUCUUUGGGUCAAGGUAGAAUAUCAUGAUUAAAAUGUUUAGUGGCUCUCAUAUGCAUAAUUGUUUAUCCGUCAGAGAGCCCGUAUUACUUUGUCUUCUCCUCUAAGUUUGCUUGCAGAUUCCAGCUUAGUCCAAUGCAGGAACACUCUCAUUAUUAUUCACUUCAUUCGGUCGUGCAAGUGAAAGGCAAUAAUGACGAUAUAUGAUGAAGUGACUGAGCCUGGAAAAGCUGGUAUGAACUCGACCUAUUUUGUUUUUGUAAAUAUGACUAGCUCAUCGUUCCUAAUUCAGCAUUGUUAUGAGAGAAACAUGUUUGCAAUGACAACUUAGAGAUCAUAGCUUCUGAUGCCAUGCUUAAUUAUCUAGGAGCUUAUAAUGGUUUGUCUUGGAUGCCAACAUGAAUUUCAAAAUGAUUAUGAUGCAGUAUGAUAAAAUGGUAUCCUCCUUUGAAUGAUUCAAGUGGCUUGACUUGGCAAAUGUUCACGCAUGUAGUUGAAACAAAAUCAACAUAGCCUCUAUGAUAUUCAUGUUUAUGGUGAUUUAUAUCCUACUCAUGCUUGCACUCAACAUUGGUUAAUUUCAAUGCAUAUUAAUGACUGUUGUCCCUCUCUAGUUGGUCGCUUCCCAGUCUUUUGCUAGCCUUCACUUGUACUAAGUACGAAUACUGCUUGUGCAUCCACUUCCAUAAACCCAAAGUUGUUCCAUAUGCGUCCACCAUACCUACCUAUAUGCGGUAUCUACCUGCCGUUCCAAGUAAAUUUGCAUGUGCCAGUCUCUAAACCUUCAAAUAAUAAUCUGUUUUGUAUGCCCGAACCGCUCAUGUGGUGACAAGGGGCGGUCAGUAUCUUCCAUGCUAGGCGUGUUAUCCUUGAUACGUGUUUAUUCACUAUCACUCACGAGAAAGGGGACGGUAAUCGGAAUGCCCAGUUCCAUGCUCAAGUCGAAAAUAUAAUUGCAAACAAAACUCCCCUGGAUUGUUGUUGGUAUGGACGGCAACCGAGGAUUCGGCUAGUCGUGGAGUGUGAUUGAUCGGUGGUGGGGGAGUCAAAACUUUACUUUUCUGUUUGGGAACCGCCUAUAAUAUGUGUAGCAUGGAAGAUGGUGAAAACUCUUGGUCAUCGCGUUGACAACGAAAGCAUGCCACCCAAAAUUAUUUAUCUCUGUUUUAAAAAGCUUGAGCUCUCGCAGCUCUGCAAAUCAAUGCUUCCCUCUGCGAAGGGCCUAUCUAUUUACGUUUCUGUUGAGUCAUCCUCUUCUUAUUAAAAAGCACCAUUAGAGAGCACCUCCGUCAUUUUUAUGCUUUGCUAUUAAUUGAUAUUGAGUAUGACUGCGACUGGAUCUUCUUUGCAAUGAAUUACAAUGUUCAGUCAGCCCUUGGUCUUUGAAGGUGCUCUGCAUUUAUGUUUUGCAGUCUCAGAAAGGGCUAGCGAGACACCAUCUGUUCAUAUUGUAUUAUGAUUGUUUUGAAUGAAGUGUUGAUGUUUGAAACUUAUUAUUAUUGCUCGCUAGUUGAUUAUGCCAUUGAUAUGAGUACAUCAUGAGACCUAAAUGUUAUUGCUUAUGUGGUUAGCUUAUGAUGUUGCUGAAAAUCCGAAUAUGAGUUAGACAUAAUUACUACAACAAGGUCAAACAGAGUUCGUAAAAGUUGUUCUUUUGUCUCUUUCAGUUUGUCAACUGAAUUGCUUGAGGACAAACAAGGCUUUAAGCUUGGGGGAGUUGAUACGUCUCCAUCGUAUCUACUUUUCCAAACUCUUUUGCCCUUGUUUUGGACUCUAAUUUGCAUGAUUUGAAUGAAACUAACCCGGACUAACGCUGUUUUCAGCAGAACUGCCUAGGUGUUGUUUUUGUGCAGAAAUAAAAGUUCUCGGAAUGACCUGGAAACUUACAAGGAUUUUUUGUGGAAUAUAUAAAAAAUACUGACGCAAGAAUUACCUGAAGACACGGAGCCAGGGGCCCACAAGCCCAGGAGGCGUGCCCCCCCCCUAGGGCGCGCCUGACAGGCUUGUGGGGCCCACAUAUCUCCGCAGCCUCCAACUCCAAGUCUAUAAAGUCUCUCUUGCCCAGGAAAAAUUAAGAGAGAAGAGUUCAUCGUGUUUCACAACACGGAGCCGCCGCCACCACCUGUUCUUUCUCGGGAGGGAAGAUCUGGAGUCCGUUCUGGGCUCCAAAGAGGGGAAAUCGACGUCGUCGUCAUCACCAAUUCCAUGAUGCUCUUCACCGUUCGUGAGUAAUCUCAUCGUAGGCUUGCUGGACGGUGAUGGGUUGGAUGAGAUCUAUCAUGUAAUCGAGUUAGUUUUGAUGGGGUUUGAUCCCUAGUAUCCACUAUGUUCUAAGAUUGAUGUUGCUACUACUUUGCUAUGCUUAAUGCUUGUCACUAGGGCCCGAGUGCCAUGAUUUCAGAUCUAAACCUAUUAUGUUUUCAUCAAUAUAUGUGUGUUCUUGAUCCUAUCUUGCAAGUUGUAGUCACCUACUAUGUGUUAUGACCCGGCAACCCCGGAGUGACAAUAGCCGGAACCACUCCCGGAGAUGACCAUAGUAUGAGGAGUUCAUGUAUUCACUAUGUGCUAAUGCUUUGUUCCGGUUCUCUAUUAAAAGGAGACCUUAAUAUCCCUUAGUUUCCAUUAGGACCCCGCUGCCACGGGAGGGAUGGACAAAAGAUGUCAUGCAAGUUCUUUUCCAUAAGCACGUAUGACUAAAUACGGAAUACAUGCCUACAUUACAUUGACGAACUGGAGCUAGUUACAUAUCACCCUAUGUUAUAACUGUUACAUGAUGAAUGUCAUCCGAAGUAAUUAUCCAUCACCGAUCCAAUGCCUACGAGCUUUUCCUAUACCGGUCCUUGCUAAGUUACUUUACCGCUACUGCUGUCACUACUGCUACUGUUACUGCUGCUACAGUUACUAUCACACUACUUUGCUACAUAUACUAAGUCUUUCAGGUGUGGUUGAAUUGACAACUCAACUGCUAAUACUCGAGAAUAUUCUUUGGCUCUCCUUGUGUCGAAUCAAUAAAUUUGGGUUGAAUACUGUAUCCUCGAAAACUGUUUCGAUCCCCUAUACUUGUGGGUUAUCAAGAAUACCCGCCCUGAGUCAUGCUCUUGUGGUUAGGAUUCUACUCCUCUAAGUGAUGCUUUUGCAUGCCUUUCCUUCCUCACGCACCUACAAACUAUUCGCUAUUUCCUUCCGCGAUAAUGUGAGCAGUUUUGAAAUUUCUGUAAAGUGGACCCAAUGUGUGAGAUGAUGACAACUGGGACCCAUCUGAUUGGUGGGACAACUCCAAAAUAUAAUGGCCCAAACAAUGUUAAAAGGCCAUGACCUAGAAAUAAAUAAAGGCUGAAUUGUAGGGUUUGGCCUAUGUAGCUAACCCAAAUUGGCAAGAAAAAAAUAUGAAUGGGUUGAAUUGUUAGGCUCGGCUCAUGUAAAGUAGUGAAAUGGACCGAGCUGAUUCUUAUCAACGACCAAUUCUAUUGGUUGCAAUUUUGCCGCGAUUUUGCUACAUCAGCUUGCCACGUUGGAUCCGAUGUGGCCUGGGCAGACAACUAGUGGCCAAAACAAAAGGUCAUAGGACCAACGACCUUUUGUUUUGGUCGUUGCUUUCUACGACCAUAUCACAAAGAAGGUCGUUAAGUUUCAUUAAAGAUGGUUAGUUUUUGACCAACUGUUUUUUAGCAUAAAAAGAUCGCAAAUGAAAAACAAUGUUCAUUCAGCGACCAAUAGUGAUGGUCGCAAGUUGACAUAUUUCUUGUAGUGUGUAGCAGAGAUAUCAGACACACAACCUCUGCAACAUCGAAAUGUCCUAAAGACAUUAAGAAUGCACACAACCCAAAAAGAAAAGGAAAACAAGAUUUUUUUUUGCUACAAGAUGAAUUCCUUGUAACUAGCGAUAUGAUCCACAAGCUAAGACAAGUCGUAGCUGUGAGGAAACAAAGUGGAACAAUAUGUGAAGGUCGCAUGGACUUUUCCGCAAAAAAAAAAAGUCGCAUGGACUAAUCAAGGACAGAACAAUUAAUGGGUGGCCACGCUGCUUGUUAAGUGUAAACUAAUGUCUAUGUUUGUAUACGCCUAGCACCAAAUUAACAACCCCGCACUAGACAGUGACAUGUUAUCUCCAUUAUAUUUGUAUACAUUGCUUGAUUGGUUCCAUACAUGCAUCUUGAGAAAAGAAGAAUGCUUUUGUUAAUAAUAUGGUCGGAGAUAAUGAAUAAUCAAGCUGUGAUAUCCAAUGCAAGUUGGAUAUACUUAAGGGACGGGUCUAGAAUUGUUAGAGUUUAAUUAGUUAAUGUAAUUAGUUAACUUAAUCUUUACUUGUAACUGCACGUGGGCAUCUCCACGACCGAACCAACACUUCGUUCGUGGAGCGACGCCUCCACGAACCGCCUCCUCGUACCGUCGCUUUUUUUGGAAGCGACUGUUCCCCAUGUAUAUAUAUGUUCAUUCAUCAAUGAGAAACAGAGUUUGAUUACAUUUCUUCACACGUUAUCAGCACGUAGCCUACCGACAGAGCACCGGAGACGAAGAGAAAAGGUGAGAUGGCAGGGAUGAACCUGCACAGAAUCACCUCCGCCCUCGUUCGUUUCUUUAGAAGAGAAAUCCAUCGAUCUGCAAGAAGCCAGGGUCUUGGAGUUCAUCGCCAUUGGGGCUCUGGCAACGGCCGCCGUGGCUGCUGUGGUCGUCGUGGGCGUCGUGGUCACCACGACCACCAUGGAUCUGCAGCAGCAGGACCAAGCCACCCACCCAUGGCCGUCCACCAUGCCUACCAGGCACCUCCAAUGUCGGACUUCGUCGCCCCGCCGGCCUUUGUCGCUCCAGUCAUGGAUUGGCAACUGGAAUACACAGGGGGGAUCUUCUGUCCUGUGCAUAGAUACGGGCCAUGCCCUUCAAACCCGGCCAAUCCACCACUGGAAUCAGAGAUCGACGGAGGGGACACUUACCCGGAUCUCCCAACACCGACGCCUGCCGACGAAGAUCCCCUUGCCGCCUCCAGGCUAUGGCCCUGUUCCGGCCAUGGCCAAGUGGGAGGUGAUCCUGACGGAGAUGGCCGAAGCCAGCGCCCCAUCGGAGGCGGCCGAAGCCUGCGGUCCAUCGGAGGCGACCGAAGCCAGCGCUCCAUCGGAGGCGGUCGAAGCCAACGCACCGACGGAGGCGACCGGAUCCGGCGCCACCAUCCCCGCAUCUCCGCCGCCUUCGCCCCAAGCCCGCCCUCGGACGCCACCAGCGGCGGCUCGCCGGAUCCUUUGCCGAUUUGCUGCAGCACUAGAGCAGCACCGCCCCGGCCUCCGCUCCGCUCCUGGGCUCACGCCGGCAUCCACCUCCCUGGCUACGACGCGGCAGCCGUAGCCCCGUCCUCUCCCUGAGCGCUGCCGACGAGGGGCGCCAUCGGCGGCGGAUGUUGCGGGACGUCGUGGAGGUGGCUGUGGAACGGGGGAAUUCAAGGCGAUAUUUGUGGUCCUAUCCAACCAUUAUCUGGACCUUUUAGGUAUUUCAUGGUUCUAAUUGACGCAUCUACACGAUGGUCUCACGUGUGUCUAUUAUCCACACGAAACCAUGCAUUUUCCAAAAUAAUGAGACAAGUAAUUAAAUUACAAGCUCAUUAUCCUGAAAAUCGGAUUAAGUCAAUUCGAAUGGACAACGCUGCUAAAUUUUCCUCACGUGCCUUCAAUGAUUAUUGCAUGGCCCUAGGAAUCGAAGUUCAGCACUCGGUCCCAUAUGUCCAGACACAAAAUGGAUUGGAAGAGUCCCUAAUUAAGAGAAUUAAGCUCAUUGCACGGCCCUUGCUAAUGAAUUGCAACUUACCAACUUCAUGUUGGGGUCACGCAGUUUUACACGCUGCUGACUUAAUUCAAUUGCGACCAACUGCAUAUCACAACACUUCCCCUCUGCAAUUAGUACGUGGAAACCUACCAAAUAUUUUCCAUCUGCGUAAAUUCGGAUGCGCCACAUAUGUGCCCAUCUCACCACCGCAGCGUACAUCCAUGGGCCCACAUUGGAAAUUGGGGAUCUAUGUGGGGUGCAAAUCACCGUCGAUAAUCAAGUACCUUGAACCCCUCACUGGGGAUCUAUUCCCAGCCCGUCACGCUGACUGCAUCUUUAAUGAGGAAUAUUUCCCGGCAUUAGGGGGAGACAUCAAGUACCAAAAGAAUGCCCGGAAAUCUAUUGGAAUGCCCAAGACAUUUCCUCCUCUGAUCCACGUACUCAAGAAACUGAACUUCAAGUUCGGAAAAUAAUUAAUUUGCAACAUAUUGCAAAUAACCUGCCAGAUUCAUUUACUGACUAUAAAGGUGUUACAAAAUCCUACAAUCCUGCCAGAAAUGCGCCCGAAAGAGUGGAGGUACCAACAAAAACCACUCAACCCCCUGUUCAAAGGAAGAGGGGGAGAAAUAGGGGGAGAAAUACGGCCACAGAACAGGAUUCAACUUCUCGCAAACAAAAAAGGAAACAGAGGAAGAAACCCCGUGAACCAGUAAAUGUAAAUCAACCUAGCGUUGAUAAUCAUCAAAUGGGUAAUGAACACCCAGUGGAAGAACGGCCUCCACAACCCAGCUCAGUUGUGCACUCAAUGACUAGGACAUCGGAAAACCCUGACUCAAUCGUAUUGGGAAAUCACGACCAGUCAACAUGGGUAAAUGAAAUUUCCACCAACUAUAUGGAUUCUGGAGAAUGUUACAAUCGUAAGUCUACUAUUGUCGACAUAUAUUUCUCAACUACAGUUGCAGACUACCUUCUAAAUGAUCAUGAUCCAAAGACCAUGGCAGAGUGCAAGAAACGCUCCGACUGGCCUAAAUGGAAGGAUGCAAUCCAGGUAGAGUUAGCCUCGCUCAAUAAACGAAAGGUAUUCACUGAAGCAAUACCUACACCUCCCAGAGUUUUCCCUGUGGGAUUCAAAUGGGUUUUCGUCCGUAAAAGAAACGAGAACAACGAGAUGGUGAGAUAUAAAGCAAGGCUUGUAGCCCAAGGUUUCACGCAGAGACCAGGCAUUGAUUGCAAUGAAACAUACUCUCCAGUAAUGAGUGGUAUUACUUUCCGAUACCUUAUUUCUAUGGCAGUACAAAAUCGUCUACCUAUGCAGUUGAUGGACGUAGUGACCGCCUAUCUUUACGGUUCACUUGAUUCGUACAUAUGCAUGAAGGUUCCUGAUGGAGUUCCAAUCCCGAAUCCAAACGCAACGCAUAUUGUGUAAAACUAAACAAGUCUUUAUACGGCUUAAAACAGUGGGGUCGCAUGUGGUACAACCGACUUAGUGAGUUCUUUUUGAAAAAAGAUACUCCAAUAAUGAUGAUUGCCCAUGUGUUUUCAUAAAAAAGUCCGCAACCGGAUUUUGCAUUAUUUCAGUGUAUGUUGAUCAUCUUAACAUCAUUGGAACCACCGAAGAUAUUGAUGAAGCACGCAAUAUCUUAAAGACGGAAUUUGAAAUGAAGGAUUUGGGUAAAACUAAAUUUUGCUUAGGAUUACAACUUGAGCACCUUCCCUCGUGUAUUUUGGUUCAUCAAACCGCCUAUAUCCAGAAAAUAUUGGAGAAAUUCAAUAUGGACAAAUACUAUCCAUCCAAAAUCCCUAUGGUAGUUCGAUCUCUAGACAUAGAGAAAGAUCAGUUUAGACCAAUGGAUGAUGGAGAAAAGAUAUUAGGACCUGAAGUCCCAUAUCUUAGUGUGGUUGGAGCGCUCAUGUAUCUUACAAACUGCACCAGACCUGACAUUGCAUUUGCAGUAAAUUUAUUAGCUAGACAUAGCGCAGCUCCCACUAAACGCCAUUGGAUCGGAGUUAAGAAUAUCUUUCGAUAUCUCCAAGGUACAAAGGAUCUUGGCCUCUUCUUUCAAUUUCAAAGAAAUUUGGACAUUGAUUUGAUUGGGUAUACAGAUGCUGGCUACUUAUCUGACCCCCAUAAUGCCAGAUCACAAACCGGUUUCGUGUUCCUACAUUGUGGGACAGUCAUAUCAUGGAAAUCUUCCAAGCACACCCUAGUGGCUACAUCCACCAAUCGUUCUGAAAUAAUCGCAUUAUAUGAAGCAUCACGUGAAUGUGUAUGGCUUCGCAGAAUGAUAAACCACAUACAAAAAUCAUGUGGCAAAGGUCUUAUCAAAUCUCCAACCAUUAUCUAGGAAGAUAAUGCUCCUUGUGUUGCUCAAAUGCAAACGGGUUAGAUAAAGAGCAAUAUCACUAAGCAUAUUUCUCCUAAAUUAUUUUUUCCCCAUCAAUUACAGAAGAAAGGGAAAAUAAAUAUUUUGCAAGUUAAAUCGUGCGAUAAUCUCACUGACCUAUUUACAAAAUCACUCCCAGCUUCAACAUUUGAAAAAUAUGUUCAUGGGAUAGGUAUGCGAAGACUUCGGGAUUUGCAAAGAUCAGGGGGAGUUUCUCUCUCUGAAAAAUAACCCGUUCAAACAUUAUAUUGCACUCUUUUCCCUUUAUGAGUGUACUUCCAUAGUUCUCAUCAAGGUUUUUAAUGAGACAAUAUCAACAUAAGACAUAUGUCAUACUGUCCGUUUUUCCCCACCGGGUUUUUUAGGAAAAGUAUAUACGACGUAUUUUUGUCCUCUAAUUUUAUGGAUACAUUUCAUAUAGAAUUGACAGAGGCAAUAAUCAUUAUAUGUUGUAUCAUUUUCUCCUUAUUUUUCCACAAGGUUUGAAGGAGUUUUAGCAGCAUAUACUAUACUACUUCUCAUAUUUUUCUCACGGGGUUUUUGGAGGAGACUAUUUUAAGAUGAUGAACAUACAUUUUAAGAUGAUGAACAUACGAUGAAUACUUGCUGUUUUCCCUGCAAUGAAACUGUAUGUACGACCGUGGAAUUCUAGUCCAGUCAUUUCAAUGUCAUUUACGGUGAAACUGAGGAGCAUAACGUACGGGGACACAUGCUAGCUGCAAACACGCGCACUCCGGCCGCCGCCAGUCAUUUGCAACACUGUGCGUUGUGUCAAGCUACGGAUUUCCGGUGGUGGCUGUCGACCGAGAUCGAACGUUUCUUCCGGCGACCUCUAUCUUUUGCUGUGGUAAUUUCUUUUGUCGUCGCUAGAGGACGUGGAUGAUAUUGUUGCAACGCACGGCAAUUCUUUGGUUUUGUUUAUUUAUUUAUAAAUAAUCUAACUGCUGCGGUCACGAUGGAUUUUCUAGGUAGCAUACCUCUUGUAUCUACUCCACGUCUUCACUUCAACUUUAUGCGUGGCUAGCUAGGGCAGUUGCCGACAGUUUGGACAAAAGAUCAGAUCAGUGGCCGAAUCGGGUAAGGUUGUCGGUUCAAGGUUUCAUCGGUCGGUUCACAGUCUGUUUUUUUUUUUWAUAAAAUAUCUUUUGUAUACUGAUGUAAUAUAUUUACCUUUUUCUUAACACAACACAGUCACAUACACUCAUAGAUACGCAAAUAUACUUACCCCUAUGACUGGGAGCUAUGACAUGUUUUCCUUGGGGUUUGUGAUCUCGAACGGACCACUAUUUGUACACGUCGACUUGGUUCGACAUCUCCGGUUUUACCUCCCAAUUCUUUAUCUUUAUCUUUAUCUUUACCUACUAAUAAAGCAAUUAGUGCUUCUGUUGUCCGUCUUUAACAUUGCCCAUAAAGUUGAUGAAAAUUAUCCACAAUUGCCACUUAUAAGUCAUUGAAAACAUUUCAAACAAGAAAAUCUUUGGACUGGGCCGGCCCAUGUAGGCACCUCCUAUAUUACGCUCUGGGCAUUGCAAAAAGAUGCAGCACACCUAUUUGGGCCGGUCCAUGCGUGGCCGCCUGUUAUUUUAGUUUUUUUUACUUUUCAGUUCUAUUUUUUUCUACUUUAAAUAAUUUAGAAGUUCAAAUAACUUUUUCUUAAAUUUAAGAAACUGAGAAUUUUGAAAUAAAAUAUUAAAAAACAUAUUUUUUUGAGAAUUCAAAAACUACUCAGGAGUUUUGAAAAAUGUUUGCAUAUACAAAGAAAUGUUUAAAUUUUUAAAAAAUGUCUGUAAAAUGAAAAAAGUCAAUAAUUUCAAACAAAAGUCCGUGUAAAAAUCUUAAAAACAGUUUGUGCCUCUGUUUUUAGUCUCAUUUUUAAUUUUCAUUUUCUGUUCCAUUUUUUAAAUUUAAAUAAUAUCGACUUUUGAAAUUUUUUUGCAACUUAUAAAACUUAGAAUUUUGAAAUAUAAUUUUGAAGAAAAUAUAAAAUGUUUGUGAAUUCAAAAAAUGCUCGGGAUAUUUGUAAAAGUAUUCCCAUAUUCAGAAAAAUGUUCAUAAUUUUGAGAACAAUGUUGGUGAAAACAAUAAAAGUCCAUGAUUUUGAGAAAAACGUUUGUGUAUUAUUUUUUGAGUGCAAUUGAAAAAAAUAUUUGCUAAUUCAAAAAAUGUUCAUGCAUUUCAAGAAAUGUCCUAAAAUUUUAAGGACGUAAUAUGAUCAACAUCCUUGAAGAUUAUAAUUAUUUUUCUUCCGUUGCAUCGCACGGGACCUUUUGCUAGUUGCAUAAAAAGUUCAAAACCUUUCGAUUCAACCGGUCCACUUUGGUUUAACAGGUGGAACGUCCAGAGAGUUUAAGAAACCGGCAUUGUCCCUGGUUCCAGCUUUCAGUUUCACCAGCGGUCCCGUCCCGUGCUGAUAAAUAUGCUGGCCGAUUAAUUUCGAUAUAUGCCUCUUUUAUUCUUUUAUCUAUCAGCAUAUCAACAUUUGUGUGCAUGUUGAGUCGUUGACUUGCCACCUCGAUCCAUCUUAUAUUCAUUUAUUUGUUCGAGUUGUGCAUUCUAUCUUUGCAGGUGCAAGAGAUAAUAAUUCAGUAUAACCUAGACACUUUCCUCCAUCUAUGGAUUCUCUACUUGAACAUUACCAUCAUAUACCAUCCAGAUGAUACUAGCUGGAUUACUGGGUUGGAUUACAUCUUCGAGUUGGCACCUCUCUUAGAAGAUUUGGAACUACAUGUAAGUUCUUCACUCGCCGAUCAUGGUACUUGCAUCUGUUUGUAUACAAAUAUGUAUUUGGUAUUAAUGAAUGGUUGGAUAUACUUGUGCAAAUAAAUUGUGGUAGAUUUGGCCUUCCUACAAGGAGUGACAACUCUUCCAAGGCCUCGGCGUCAUCAUCUCAGUAGCGCCCGCAUUAUUGAUUUUGUGAUCUGGUGGGGAUAGUCGAGCUUGAUGUCCUCCAGAUCCAGGCACGACGCGCCACAUAGAAGCCUCGUGAUAUCCCCCGGUGGGCGUCACCGACAGAGACAAUUGUGCAAUGAAGACCCCGGCAGCCUUUGUUGUCGCCCUAUAACUGUAGCUGGGUUUUUGCAACUAGGGCGGUCGCGUGGCUCUGCUCAAGCUGCCCACUAGUCCCCUGUUUCGACAUGAUCCAGAAGACAAGUCGCGGAGACUAAACAAGGUUGAACAACAUGUGCCUCUUGCAGUUUAACUAAUGAUGCUUCUUAAAUAAUGCCUUGUCACUUGCUAGAUUUUUCCUCCAAGUUUCUAUAUGCACCGUACCUUGCAUGUCUCUCAGAGAGGAUGGUGUACUGUUGAUGUAUGUACCACUUCUUUUUGCAGGGAAUGUAUAUAUCAUGUACGUACCACUUGCAUGAGCCGCUGAAUGUUCCUAGGUAGUCUUAACGUAUGUUCGUACGCUAACCAUUAGGCUACACUGGAGCGAGUAGUAGUCAACAAGUCAUGGAUGAUGGGAUGCGUGCGUUCAUGCUCUAAAAAGUCAAAGGCUAGCUCUUUUUCUUAAAUUUGUUGCAAUGGUUUUUAGUUGUUGUGGCUAGAAGACGUGGAUGCUAUUGUUGCAAGGCACGACAAUUCCUUGUUUUUAUUUAUUUACAUUUAAAAAUAUGUUGCAGUCGCGACAUAUUUUCUAGGCAGGACGGCAUCUCAUCCCCUUCAUCUUAUCAGUUAACUCGCUAUGCUGUUUAGAUUUCUACACCAUCUCAACUUUGCACAUUUGGUUCGACCUCUUUGGCCGCUAUUGGCCCCUUACGUCAAAUGGUUUCGGCUUUUCUGAUGAAAUGUUUUAAUCACCGAAUAAAGCAACAGAACACGUACUUAAUUUGUACUAAAACCCGAUGAGAUGCAGCCGCGCAGGUAAGGAAGCCCAUCUAUGGGCCCAUCCAGUUUGCCGUACAUAACAACACAAGCCCGUGAAUAUUUGAUUGUCGCAUAGAGAAAAUGUAUUUAAGAAUUCACUAACUGCAACCUUGAAACAUUAAAUAGAAGAAUGACAGAGUGUAGACGUGCACUACCUUUUGGUCAGGGGCAGAGCUAGGAUUUGAACAUAGGUGGGGCGAAGAGGACAAUGCACGUGCAGGAAAUUCAGGACCAAAUAUAUUGAUUCUGAAAUAUAGUGUUAAUAUCAAACAAACAAUGUUAUUUUUUCCUGCAAUAACAUUGAAAUAGCUAGGUUUUUUAUUAGCUUAGAUAUAUAUCUACACACAUCAGGCCCAUCAAACGUCAAGGUUUGUAGAGAUUUCACUCCCAAAAUAUAUACUCCCUCUGUACCUAAAUAAUUGUAGUAGGGAAGAACUAGUCAAGUUUUCCCCAAUUACAAUUAUUUAGAUACAGAGGGAGUACAUGUCACUCUGCAAUGUGCAAUCUCAUCAGUAGACUGGGUGGUUAAAAUAAAUGGUUUCAAUUGUUAGUUAUUGGUGGUCUCUUCUUCCUCAUGCUUUAUGCAAUUCUAGACUUCUAGUUAGUACACAAAUAUCAUUUUUAAUUGAAUCUAACUGGUACAACCUCUGUCCCAAAUUACGUGUCUUAAAUUUAUCAAGAUAUGAAUGUGUUGUAUGUAAACAAACCUAAGACAAGUAACCUUUGGAUCCGCACUGCUUCUGGUACUACCUCAUGUUGGUUUAACAGUGUGCCUCCUCACGCCAUCCAUGAUCAGCGUGUUAGUUAAGCUGUCUUUCCACUCUCUGCCAUAUCUCUUAUACCACUAUCAUGAUGGGCUUGCCUGCAUUUAUACAUAUACUUCUUUUUUUGCACCGUUACAUAUACUUUUUUCGUCACGGGUUAGAAGGCGUGCUUGGAAAUUCUCUGGAACCUAGGCGUUGUUGAUUGAAUGCGAGAUGGGUUGAAAAAUAGAAUUCACACUACGCAUGCAUACAGAACUAGUACAAUGGAGUACUAAUUGGCUGCUAAAAGUAAAUGCAAUGUGUCCACAACUUUGUUUAGUGUGAAAAUGCACGUAAAUUUAACCAUGCGUUCUAAACCGCGACUGAGGGAGUACUUGAUAUGGCAAGUUCUUUUUUAGCAUUUGUGGGCAUAUGUUGGCUUUAUUGACCAUUAAUGGGGUGAUAGUGACAAGGUAGCAUUUCUAGUAUUAUAGGUGAUCCAAAUUUAACGGUGUAUAAUGACCACACUAUUAUCCAAAUGGGAACAACCUCCCAUUAAUGGUAGGAGAAUCAGUCACCCAUUUUUGUACAACCUCCCACUAAUGUGUCUGUGAUUUGUUUGCAAACAUUUAUUUUUUACUCUCACUGCGAAAUGCCCCUAUGAGGAAGAACAACAUAAAAAUAGGUCUCGUGCCUGUGAGUUUUUGCAAAGUUUUUUACUCUCCCUGUCAAGUGGCCCUACAAGUAAGAACAAUAGUAAAAAAUGGAUCGUGUACCUGUGAUUUUUUACAAAGUUUUUUACUCUCACUGCCGAGCGGCCCUAUUAAGAAAAGCAAGACAAAAAUUAGGCAGCAGCUUCAAGGGGUUGAACCAGGUUCCAACUCACCAUCGUACCAUCGCAUACUUCCAAUUUUUCACAGGUUACAAAUGAAGUUAUUCCAUUCCUAAUAAAAUUUGAAAUAAAAAUGAGUUUUUGUUCGGUACACCGUACCCCCGCCCCCUCCCUCACAACCUACCUUGAAAAAAGCCAAGGCACGCGUUGGUUUGAAGUUUUCGUAGCAAUCUAGAGGAUCUGUGUGAUAUUUCAGCUGCAACGGACUGCAGUUCUUUGUCGAUUUUUCUGCAAAUGAUUUACCUAUUGUGGCCGCUAUAGAUUUUCUAGGUAGCAUGUCUUCUCAUCCCAUCCCGGGCCUCGCUCUCGAGGCCAUCGGGGAUCAGUUUGUGUGUUCGUCCGAUUUCUUCUAAGAUCGAUCUGCAACGUCCGUCGGUACCGCUGGAGCUGCACUUCCACUCUAGUGUGGCACGCCAAUAUUUUUUAUCAUAUCUACACGCCGUUGCUUAUACUUUAAAUGGUAUGUUUUGGGAGCAUUCGUUUGUAGCCUUAUGCAACAUAGACUAUCAUGCAAUGACAGGAUGACAGUGACUGAGGUAGAAUUUCUGGAACCGUACCCAAUGACAGAUUUUAAGAUGGAUGGUGAUCACACUGUUAUCCAGAUGGAAAAACCUCCAAUGGUAGGAAUCAUAUACUUGGGCAUGUUGUCCUGAUUUUUCUUUUUGAAAUUGAGACAAAAUAUUUGCCUCAUCUCACUAAUAAAAGAGAGGGUUGAAUUACAUAGCUGGCUGUCCAAGGACGGCUCUCCAAUUUUGUUUUUUAUUCUUACGACAUUACAGAACUAACAUCCUCAGAGCAACUCUAGCACACCCCGCAUCCAUCCCCGACCCGUAAAAUAACCGCCAAAAUGCGGGUACGGGCCGGAAAGCCUGCCCGACCAGACCACGCAUCCCGCCCCGGUCCGCAAAUUUUUUUUGGGGGCGCGGCAAAUUCCCGACCCCAACCCGGAAAAACGCGGGUUUCCGCCUCGCUGCUGCGGUGCCCUGCAUCACAGAGAAGCAGUUGGCGGGAGGGACAUUUCAGGCCGCGCUCUUUGCCCCCUCCUUCCGCCGCCGCCCGCCCUUGCUUACGCCCGCCCGCCGCCGGCGAUUCCGGCAAUAUCUGCAGGCGAGCCGCUGCACCGCCCCUCCGGAUCCGGUGAGAAGACSCCCCCCCCCCCGCCGCUGUCGCCGCCGGGGUAUCGACCACCAUCGAGCGCACCCCCUCGUCGCCGCCCGGGUCAUCCGCAACCGGUUAGUCCUUUAUUUUUAUUUUUGUGAGCUGUGCGAGAAGUUCUUACUAUCCGAUUCGUCCGAUUCGGACGACUCGGAUGUUGAGACCAUGCUUGCGAACUUUCGGCAGCAAACAUUAGUCAUGGCGCUUGCCGUGAAGGAGCAUGAAGACGAGCACCGGAAGAGGAGGCGAGGAUUGACUGUCGGGCGUUUGUGCAUUUCUCGAAAUCGCCAUCUUGGAAACGAGAUGUUGAUGCAAGACUAUUUCACGAAGAAUCCUACAUAUCCUCCGCACCUCUUUCGGAGAAGGGAUCGAAUGCGCCGAUCCCUCUUUGUGAAACUUGUUCAAGCUUGCGAGUCAAAUUGCCGGUAUCCAUUUGUAUUUGUAUUCAUGACAAGUUUUGUAUUGCACUAUUUAAGUUUGCUAUGGUUAUUUGAAUAAUUAUUUGUAAUGCGGAUGAUUAUUGUAUUAUGUUUGAUUCGAAUAAUUAAGUUUGUUUUCGAUUGUUGAAUUAUGUUGUAUUUGAUAUUUGUGGGCUGAUGAUAUGCGGGAUGCAGCGGUGCAAAGAGCAGACCCCGCAAAGCCGACCAGUAAAAAAGUAUAUUCCGCGAAUAUAUAUUUUGACGGAUCCGUUUGGAGGGUCUGCAUGUGUGCCAGCCCGGGCCAGCCCGCAAAAGCUGUUUUACACGAACUGCAAACGCGUUUUGCAAGCAAGUAGUACUUGUUGUGGAACACGUCCGGCGUUCCACCACUCCUUAAUAGUGCCAAUUUUCUGGCCCCCUCUUGCAAAGUUCACUAGUGGAAAACGGACCUUUGGCCGGGACCCUUUAGUCCCGGCCUGCCUCUAGGCCAGGAUUAAAGGCCCGGCCACGUCACCCCAGUUCUCAAUGCCUCCCUCGAGGCUUUAGUCCCGGUCCGUAAGGAGCCUUUAGUCCCGGUUCGUGUCCCAAACCGGGACUAAAGGGCUACGCGGCGGGCAGUGGUGGUGGCAACCGUUCGUAUCCCCCUUUAGUCCCGGUUGGUGGCUCAACCUGGGACUAAAGGCCUAACACGUGGCAUGUCGUAGUGGUGGCAACCGUUGGUAUACCUCUUUAGUCCCGGUUGGUGGCUCAACCCGGGACUAAAGGCCCAAACGGUUUGCAUCCCGCGUCGUUUCGGGCAAUGAAAAGCACGAACCGAAGCACAGUCGCCAUUUCUCUGUUUCUUCUUCUCUCUCGCUCUCCCUCUCUGUUCUUCUCCUCUCUUCUUCCCUUCUCUUCUUCCACCAUGCCAACUCGCUUUCAAAAGGUGCUCGCACAUCGCACGACCAUGCUCGAUGUCGUGUACACGAACGAGAGCAGGGAGGUGCCAUUUUUUCUUGAAUAGUUGAAGGAAAAAUGUCUUGACGCCGCAAUGGAUCAUGAGAAGUUUUUGGGGCUUGAUCUGGAGUACACGGCCGAUCAACACGGUGUUGCCGUCAUCCAACUAUGCUUCGCACGCCAUGUCUUGAUCUUCCAAUGGGCGAGGUAAGUUUUGAGGCUUUCUUUGAUCCAAGAUAAUGACAUUGUAAGUUUAUUUGUUUCAAUCAUAGUUGGUUCCCUUCAAAUAGUUGUAGUGAAACAAUUUUGAUUAGUUGAAGGGGAACACAAUCUAAUUGGUAAUAGURGUUCCAUAAUCUGAAAAUCGUAUUAGAAUCAACUAGUGUUUAAUAUGUUUCAUUGGAAUCAUAGUUGGUUCGCUUCAAAUAGUUGUAGUGAAACAAUUUUGAUUAGUUGAAGGGGAACACAGUCUGAUUGGAAUAGUGUUCCAUAAUCUGAAAAAUCGUAUUAGAAUCAACUAGUGUUUAAUAUGUUCCAUUGGAAUCAUAGUUGGUUCGCUUCAAAUAGUUGUAGUGAAACAAUUUUGAUUAGUUGAAGGGAACACAAUCUGAUUGGAAUAGUGUUCCACAAUCUGAAAAAUAUGAUUGGUUCAAUAUGUUCCAUUGAAAUCAUAGUUGUAGUGAUACAAUUUUAUGCGGUGUUCUUUGAUCCAAGGUUAUGAAAAUUGCAUAUAGCUAGUGAUCUCUCUAGGUUCCAUUGGAUAGCAAUAUGAUAUGUCAUAGUCAUGAAAAUUGCAUAUAGCUAGUGAUCUCUCUAGGUUCCAUUGGAUAGCUAUAGUGAUCUCUGUAGGUUCCAUUGCAUAUGUUCUAUUUGAAUCCUAAAGAUAAUUUUCUCUUCAGUUGUAGUGAAACAUGUUUCCUUAUUGCAGCAGUAUGUAACAUUUGUUCCAUUUUAAUUUGUUUCUGUUGCAGUAGUGACAAGCAUUGUCCAGAACUCAUGGACUUCCUUCGCAGCGGCAUCACUUUUGCUACCGCUGACAUAAGGAACGACAAGCUGAAGAUGAGGUACAACUUCGGUAUUGCAGAAGGAAAACGCCAGGAUAGCAAAGGAACAUCAUGAUGCGCAGAUGAAAAAGAAGGAACCCGAGCCCCGCCCGGAAUACACCGAGAAGCAAAUAGCAUGGGCAAAAGACUUCAUAACCCUUCCAUCACAAUAUGACUUACACUAUAAGCCUGAUGACUAUACACGCACAUUGCAGAAGGAAGUGAAAAAGAGCAGUUCAUGUGCAAGUGCAAGUGGGAGCAAAUCAAGUUCAACUACAAGCAAGAAAAAAUCAGACGUUCCUCAGCUUGGACAACAGGCCAAACAGUCGAUCCCACCCCUCAAGGUGUUAACCGAGAAUGUUCCCCCUCCGAUGCAGGGGCAAGCUUUUGAAAGAGCAAAGGAGUUGGCGGCUGAAUGUGGUAUCUCGGUUGAAGAUUUGCCGGCUUCCCAAGACGACAGGAUACCCAAGGCUGUGGUAGCCCCUAAGCCACAGUUUGUCAUGGGAGAGCCUUUGGUCAGCAAAGAUGAUCUCCCAACAAAUAUGCGUUACUUGCAUCAAUGGUACUUAAGUGAAUCAAAGAAUGGGAGAAUGAUGAUCGUGCUGAGUGUCCCACGGGAGUACUACGGCGGCUCCGAAGAAAUCCAUAUCGACUUUGAUGAACUCUUCCAGAUGUACAAUGGCGACGCCCUCGAUAAAUCGCUUAUGAGUUGCUAUUGUCUGUAUGUUUUUCAAUUCGUUGUCUACAUAUAACUUGUUUAGUUAUUUCAAUUCAUUGUCUAUAUAUAACUUGUACUCUAUUAUGCAGAAUGAAGAUUCUGGAUUGUAAAAGUAAGACCAUCCUAAAUAUUGGGUUUAUUGACCCAGAUAAAAUACAUAUAGCGACGCUAACUGAUAAACCCAAGGAGGCAGAGGAAAACCUUCUAAGGUUUCUAAUAAAUCAAAAUUUCUGUGACCACAUACUGUUUCCAUACAACUUCAGGUGAGGGUCUUUACUCUGUUGUGUCCAUUCACUUAUAAGUGUAAUUGAUAAGUUACUGACAUAUACACACACACACACACACACACACACACACACACACACACACACAUGUGCAGCUUUCAUUGGAUUCUGUUGGCCAUUCAAAUUGAUAAGGGAAGAGUUGAUGUCUUCGACCCAUUAUCGAGACCCUUGGAACAGUUCCAAAGCCUGCAGGACAUGCUCCAAGGGUAAUUUUAAUCAAUCUUGCGCUCUAUCGGUCUCUUUCAAUGAUUUUCUGAUAUAUCAAUUAAUGAAAAACUUAGCAAAUCAUUAUCCUUGUCAGGCAGGGUUUGGAAGCGGUUCAAGUGCGUGACUCCCGGUAACUUUCCUGAGAAGCUGACCUUUAGAGCGGCUCAGGUAAGUAGUAGUAUGAUAUACUUCUAUUAAUUUUCAAUACAUUUAUGAUGCUAGAUUAUUAUUUUGAUUAUAUAUAUUAUAUUCUCGUAAAGUGCGACCAGCAGCCACGGGGAACGCAUCUAUGCGGAUACUAUGUUUGCGAGACCAUUCGCACGUUUACCUCUGAGCUCAAGGAUCACAGAUUCGACGUAAGCAAUGAACAUUCACACCUCUAUUUUUACCCGUCAUUCUUUGUUAUCAUGAUUGAUAUUCAUAUUCAUCUCCUCUUCUUAUAUAGCACACGACCAUGAGGACGAAGGUCCUACCAGAGCAACGCGCGAUUGCUGUUGCAGAGGAGCUUGCGGGAUUUCUGAGAACGGAAGCUAUAGAUGACAAAUGACGAUUUAGUGUAACCAGGGGCCAUUACUGAUGUUCGUCCAUGUAAUCGAAUAGACGGGCUCUAGUCCCGAUAAUUCAAAUCUCCAUAUAAUUGUAUAUAUAUGCUCGCUUGUAAGAUAAGUUAAUCUUAUAUAUAUAUGCAUAAUUAUUUCUAUUUAAAUUAUAUGAAAACUAAUUCCCGAACACCAAACAAGGCAUCACGUUAAUCUCCCGAACACCUAAACCCUAAAACCCUAAAACCCAAAAAUAAUUUCAUUCAAAAAAAAACCCAAAACCAGUAAAAUCUGAAAAUCUUUAGUCCCGGUCCGUGUAACGAACCGGGACUAAAGGGCCUGCCCCUGGGACGCUACGAGGCGCCCACGUGGAGCACCUUUAGACCCGGCUUGUAACAGGGCCGGGACUAAAGAUUAGGCCUUUAGUCCCGCCCCUUUAGUCCCGGUUGGUGAACCGGGACUAAAGCCAGUUCGAACCCGGUCCUGUAUGUAAGUCAAGCAAAGAAUUUAUGCUCUGGUGGUGCCUGAUUGUUCCACACAGCCGUCAUAUUGUCUUAUCACUCACUCAUUUUAUUACAACACCAAAAUUACACAAAAACAGUAGCACCAUGACACGGCGUAGAGCACACACACGCUCACAAGCUUCAGCAUAAAUCAGCACAAAACUUACUGGGAGGUAGCAUCUCUGGACUUCUAGCCAAGACAGAUUUCACGUUGUAUGGUGAUCAGAGUGUUAUCCCAAAUGGGAACAACCUCAUAGGGUAGGAAGCAUAUAUAUAUACUCCGGGCAUGAUGUCUGAUCACUCAACUCAUUUUAUUACAACAUCACAAUUAUAAAGAACCACUAGUACCAUGACAUGAUCAUAGCGCACACACACACACGCUCACACGCUUCAGCAAUCACGGCAACUAAACAAUUUCUUACAUGGCGGAGGCAUGGCCCUCGUCGCUGGCGGUCUCGAUGCCGUCGACACGGCUGUUGGGGACGGCGCAGUUGAACCGGAUCUCGCCCUGGCUGCCGGUGAGCAAGUCCAUGUUGCUCAUCUUCACCAUGGACUUGGCAAACUGCUCGAAGAACGCUCCCUGGUUGAGGGCGAAUCGCGUCGCCAUGCGCGUGGUUUCAGGGUGGACGAUGAGGCCCUGGUCCGACUUGAACAGGCCCUGCUUGGCGAUGAGAUCAAAGUAGUACUUGUUGUCGAACACGUCCGGCGUGCGCACAUCGAGCGACUGGUUGACGCUAAGCGCGGGCACGUCGUUGGCGCACUUGGCCUUGAGCUUGGCGGCGAAAUUGGGGUCGAUUGCUGGGUUGGUGUCGACUUCCGGCGUGAAGCGGUCGGAGAAGGCGGGGCAGUGGGCGAUGCCGAACGUGUGUGCGCCGGAGAGGGACACCAGGUCGGCCUUGUCGAGGUUGCGGUCGCCGAAGGACUUGAGGAGCUCCGGCACGGUGAAUGAGGGGGCUGGAAGGGUGAAGACGAG